UAGGCGUGUGCCGUCGCCACGUGCGGCAGCUCUGCGGCGUGCAUGGGUUACAUUUGCCGAUAAAUAAGCAGAUUGGUCGAAGUCUUUUGAUUAGUUAGAGUAUCAUUCGGCUUUCCUGGGCUUUCGCCGGGCAUAUCCAGGUCCUUUGUAGUGGAAUGCUAUGUAAUUCAAGCAUGACGAUCAGAAGAAAUGUGGAGAACUUGCACCCACUUUUCUGACAUAAAAUGGAACUUUUCACGCUCUCAUUUGUAUGGCACGUACGAAACAGUUCAUGUCCGCGUUUUUCAACUUUUUUACGCACAUCUAUCUAUAGAUUGGAACAAGGUUACAAACUUAAUCAUGUCUUAAUCAAAUGACAUAUCAAAUAAAGAAGAAAGAUUUUUUUAAAAGAAAAUGCACGAAAUCUAUGCAAGAUCUAGACUGAGAUUUAGCGAUCCGGUUAGAACAAAUUAUCAAAAAAUUCCUUUCCUUUUUGUGUCUAAAAUUUUCUUUUCUUUUGCGGGCGAUAAAAUUUCUCUUUUCUUUUUGUGUCAGUAGACAAAUAAACCACUAAAACAAUGGGUCUGCUUCAGUACACCCCCUCUCAAAAAUAAGAAAGAGUGGCUACGUUUGCUUCCCUAGGAAUAUAUUAUGUAUACACUCUUUCCUUUUCACGAAUUAACGUAUGUACAUUCCGUUUGUAAAAAAAAACAUCAAAUCAAAGUGUACCAAAUUCAUGUGCAUUUUUCUUGUCCAUUCUUGUCCUAUUUUUAUUUUCCCUCAAAACUGACGUCUUCAGAAUCGUGCCAUGAUUAAAUGCCUCUGAUUCUGAGUAACCACUUUGCCGGUCUCUGUGAUCCUACCAAACCCUAUACGUGUACUGUAUAUAGCUAGGCACCGGUCGCCUACACAAGGGACACCGCCUAAUCACUUGCACUCUUUUGACAACCUUUUAUUGCUCUUUUCGGCGAGCCAGUCGUGGCUCGCCCUGCGUCCCGACGCGACGUCUCCGCAUCCACCGAAACCACCGGCGCGGCACACCGGUUUACGAACUUAAUUCGUCUGGCUGCGCUGGGUCCGGCACGAGAUGGAAAACGACCUCGGUUCGAACGCUCAUUCAUUUUAUAUCAAGUGUUGCCACGGUCAUCUCUGCUAGCCAGGGUAAGAGUACUCCAUUCGUUUCUUUUUAUUUCGAAUGUUAGGUUUGUCUCAAGUAAAAAAAAAGUUUGAUUAAAACUAUAGAAGAAACUAUAAAUAUUCACAAUACCAAAACAAAAUUGCAUGAUAUUAGGGAGCUAUUAUAAAAUAUUAGGGAGCUAUUAUAAAAUAUUAGGGAGUAAAUAAAUUGCAUGGAUCUUCGAUCCAUUUAAAUCGAGGGAAACGCACAUGAUGAUUUCUCUUUACGAAAUAUGUAUGUGGCAAUCGUGUGACAGAUUGCAAAAACGACCUAACGCAUCAAGUGCCGUUCGAUUUGGAUCACGCGACGCGCAAGUCUUUGCUCGAACACCGCCACAAUCCUUCGUGCGACUGCAUCCCAACUGCCCCGACGCCCAGGCCUCCCUUCCAUCCACAAACAAGGCCACUAUCCACUCUUCCUCCCGACGAGGAGGCCCGUCGGCUUGCUUUUCCUUCCUCCUAAAGGCGACGCAGUCGUCGCCCCGCUCCUCCUUCGUCCUGCGGGCGACGAGGCGAUGGGACGGGAUCCCCCGGUGUGACCUUCCUAAUUGAUGCUCCACGGCGGCGCGAUGGAGAGGGGGUGCAACACCUCGACCUCCGCCAUGCGCAGCCGCCACGGGGCCGGCGCACCCGCUGUAGUCGCAUGACGCCGCCUUCCGCACCGACUAGGUCGUCGUCGUUCAUGGCCUUAUUUUCCUGAUGAAAUCCUUCAUGCACGCACGCUCACGCCGUUGUGGAAACGGGCUUUCCAUCGGGAGGCAGAGAGAGACACAGCCGAGCCAAAAUUAUCGGGCGGCUCGAGCAGCACACUUCGUACUGAAAAGCAGUGGACGGUGGUGAGGUUAUGUGUCUCAUGGCCUUAUAUCUGAAACUUGUGAAGAAAAGCAGCAGUUUAUUAACUGAACACUGGGCAUUUAGCACUCCACAUCCUCAUCAAACCGUCACCAAAUAGCAGAGAUCCUUUUUACCUCUUAUUAAUGCUUGAUCGUUACUCCUCCUGGUGCGUUGAUCAAGCAUAUGACUCACCUGUCUAUGUGGUUUCCGACGAGAGCAAUUUCUUUCUUUCUAUACGUUUAAGUCUGAACUUGUUGUUCUAAAACUGAAAGUUGACAAUCCAGUCUAAACUAGUUAUUCUGAAACUGAAACUUGACGCUUGGCUCAUGCUAUACUAAAAACCUCUGAACUUGACGCUUGGUCGUAUGAUAUUCUUUUUGUAGUAUGCAAAUGAACUACUGAAAAGGCGUACACUAUACUACUAACGAACCUCAAUUGUACUGCUGGAAUUAGGUUUGAAAACAUCUACUACUGAAUCUGAUAUGCUAAAGGACCUCUCAACCUCAUACACUACUAAAGAACAAGUUUCAGAACCUCAAACAAUACUAAAAGCCUCUGAACUUGAGGUUUAUACUACUAAAGACUUUGACACUUAUUACUAAAAAUCCCCAUAUUCUAUACUAAAUUCAAGCUUUCGGUGUUGAUCAUAUCUCUUUCCUCGUUUCAAAUGCUUUCCCAAGCUGGUGCGCCUCAUAAUCAUUCCCCGCUUGCUAUUCAAUUAUUUCGAAGUGCUGAAGAUAUCUCAGAAGAUUCAUGAUUCCAUUCUUAAUCCGUUCAAGCUAUUUCGAGGUUGUUAAAUCAUUCAAGCCAUUUAAUUCAACCGGUGCAAUCUUUCUUUCAAGCAGUCUUUUUAGAUGGUGUUUCUUUUGAGUGGGCCCUAACCCACAGGUCUUUUCCCAGGAUCUUACCUGACUCUUCUAAUUUUUCCGGAGCUAUUCUCAAUUCUUUUUAAAGUUUGACGUAAUAAUGAAUUAUCAUCAGUCAUAUGUCUUUCUUCAAGAUCUUUCAAAUUAUUUUCUUCUUUGGCUCAACCUUUUAUCUUUUCAUUCUCCCGGAGUGUCUAAUCGAUUCAUGGUGGUGUUUCUCAUCGUCAUUCUCUGCAUUUGAAGACCGAAGAAGAGCUUUCCUCCAAAUCUUGGUUCGUUCACUUGAAGAUGCAUGGUUCCAGCUUCAUGCCAUCCUCAUAACUGUUUUCUAUCAUGAGGGAUUCUUUUCAUAUCCAUCCGAAGCAAUUUAGGGGUCUUUUCAACUUGAUUCUCCGGAGCCCAUCAUCUUAGAAUUAUUCAUUCUCCUCUUUAAGCUCUCGUUUUCCAAAUAUUACCGGUUCAUCGCUCAAGUAUUCUCUAGUCAGCUCGUGAUCUCUUCAUUCUCUUGUAUCUAAAUUUCCCAAGUAUUUUUGUUCGUUUUUUAAUUCUUCCCGGUGAUUCGUCCCUUUGCUAUGUUCUAUUUCAAUUCCUACCGGUGGUUCGCUCAAGAUUCCUUUUUCCUUUGAUAUCAUAUCAAUUCAUUGUUCUUUCCAAAAUCCUACCCGUGGUUCGUGGACGAUUUUCCCAAGUUUACGCUAUAUCUCUUCCUAAUCCUUUCUCAAAUGAGAUAAGUAGUAUGCUAAAUCCUUUGCUUGUCAUCAUUUUAAAUUGAUGAAGGAUACACAUAACAUAAUUCUUAUUCUUGUUUCAUCCAAGGGAUUAAUACCUUCCUUCGGAGUUUCUUCAUGAUGAAGUAAUUCUCGGUUUCGAGUUGUUCAUCUUUUCUUUCCAGAGAUCCAAGUUCUCUCGGUUACUUCGUCACGAAGCUCCAUCUAAAUCAUUGCAAGGCUUCAAUCUUAUUCUUUCAUCCUCCACUUCUCAUCCUUUUGUUACCGGAGUUCUUCAUGCACUAGUAGAAAAAGGGUCUAAUGUGCAUCUCAUUAGUCCCGGUUUGAAAUUGAGCCGGCACUAAUGUGACCAUUAGUGCCGGUUCCAACGGCUAGGCAGGCCACUCUCUGUAGUACUAGUUCGUGGCGAACCUUUAGCUCCGGUUUGUGCCACGAACCGGUACUAAAGAGAGUGGUGGCAGGAUGUUGUCAGACUGGGGCUCCUCCAGCACCUUUAGUACCGGUUCGUGCCAUGAACCGGUACUACAUGUCAUCCUACAUAUAAACCCUUCGUCCAGCUCACUCUGUUCUUCCCCCUUUCCCCUCUCCUCUUUGUUCUUCCCCUCUUCCCCUCGAGCUCAUCACACAUUUUGCCCAAAUUUUGUCAAGAUUUGAAGGCCCCGAUCGAUUCAAGUGAUCACAAAGGUUAGCAACUUUGUCCUUUCAUCUCUCAUUGCUAGAUUAGCUCUUGCAAUGCUUUAUAUAGUGAUUAAUUUGUGGGUUUUAGUAAUUUGGGAGGAAUUAUAUGUGGUAGUUUAUUUGAUUUAUAUGCAAUUUGAGCUUAAAAUAACUCUUAGUUUGCAUAUGUAGGUGUGGUUUACUUAGUGCCUUCCCGUCUCCAUCGUAACCACCGUCGAUCGUCCGCACCGACCUAUCGCCGGCACCACCUUGUGGUUAGCCUCUUGUUCUUAUCUUUUUUAUAUAAAAAAAAUCAUGUUUGUGUGAUUUAUAUAUAUAGUUACUUGUAUAAUUAUCUUACCCGUACGUUGUUUGUUAUACAUAGUGCCAUGGUUUUGAUAUCCGUCCCCGUCGGCCCUCGUCCGUGUUAUGAUUUAGAUGUGGUAUAUUCUCUUUUAAAACUAUUUGUUGCAUUUCGUGUUUAUGACAAAUUAUGCCCAUCAAGUUGACAUAGAUAUUUUUAUCUAGGAGGUAUGUGAACCAGAAAUACCAACCGACCCUAUUGUCGAGAGGUUAAAUUUAGUUGAAAGAGAAAACGAGUAUUUGAAAGAAAAAUUGAAAAGAAUUGAGGGGGAGAAGAUGGAAUUGGAGUUGCAUGUUGCCGAUGUCGUCGAUGAUCACAAGAUCAAGAUGGAGAAAAUGCAGUUGAAGAUUAGAAAGAUUAGAAAAUAUGCCAUUGAUAGUGAUGCUUGGUAUCAUUAUGCUGUUGGAUCAAUUAUUACCUUAGUUGCGAUCUUGAUCACAUUUGUUGUUACAUUUAAAUGCUUUAGCUAGAGAGUUAUUUGUAUGUUGCAUUUAAGUGUUGUAUGAACUUUAUGUAUGAACUAGUAUUAAUUUGGUCUAUUCGGUGGUGUGUAACGAAGAUGAGCCAGCAAUGGAUGUACGAUGACUGAUGCUCUCCCCAGUUCGUUGAUGGCGUGCAUACUCUUCUGAUUGUGGCUCAGGCAAACAAUCGGGUGGAUGGUUUUAUGCCUUGUCAACGUGCUGGCUGUAAGAAUGAUCACAAUUACUCUAACUCAAGAACCAUUCACGUCCACCUGUUUGAGUCCGGUUUCAUGCCCCACUAUAAUGUUUGGACCAAGCACGGAGAAAGAGGGGUUAUGAUGGAAGACAAUGAAGAAGAUAAGGACGACAAUAGCUAUCCUGGCCAUGGGUUCCCUGAAUACGACGAUACAACAAUGCGAGAAGAAUCUGAGCCGGCAAUGCGAGAAGCUGAAGAAGAGGCAUCAGAUGAGCCCACUGAUGAUCUAGGUCAGGCCAUUGCCGAUGCAAAGAGAAACUGCGCAAGUGAAAAGGAGAAGAAGAAGUUGCAGCGCAUGUUAGAGGAUCAAAAGAAAUUGUUGUACCCGAAUUGCAAAGCUGACAAGAAAAAGUUGGGCACCACACUGGAAUUGCUGCAAUGGAAGGCAGAGAAUGGUGUAUCUGAUAAGGGAUUUGGAAAGUUGCUGGUAAUGAUAAAUAAUAUGCUUCCAAAGGACAACGAAUUGCCCGAGAGUACGUACGAAGCAAAGAAGGAUUCUGCUCUCUAGGUUUAGAGGUGUAGAAGAUACAUGCAUGCCCUAAUGACUGCAUCCUCUACCACGGUGAGUACGAGGAUUUGAACGCGUGCCCGGUAUGCGGUGCAUUGCGCUAUGAGAUUAGCCGCGAUGACCCUGGUGAUGUCGAGGGCGAGCGCCCCAGGAAGAAGAUUCCUGCCAAGGUGAUGUGGUAUGCUCCUAUAAUACCACGGUUGAAACAUUUGUUCCAAAACAAAGAACAUGCCAAGGCGAUGCGAUGGCACGGAGAAGACCGUAAGAAAGACGGAAAGUUGAGAGUACCCGCUGAUGGGUCGCAGUGGAGAAAAAUCGAGAGAAAGUACAUGGAGGAGUUUGAAGGUGACCCAAGGAACAUGUGGCUUGGUCUAAGCGCAGAUGGCAUUAAUCCUUUUGGGGAGCAAAGCAGCAACCAUAGCACCUGGCCUGUGACUCUAUGUUUGUAUAACCUUCCUCCUUGGUUGUGCAUGAAGCGGAAGUUCAUUAUGAUGCCAGUGCUCAUCCAAGGCCCUAAGAAACCCGACAACAAAAUUGAUGUGUACCUAAGGCCAUUAGUUGAAGAACUAUUAUAGUUGUGGAAUGUAAAAGGUGUACGUGUGUGGGAUGAGCACAAACAGGAAGAAUUUGACCUAAAGGCAUUGCUGUUUGUGACCAUCAAUGAUUAGCCUGCUCUCAGUAACCUUUCAGGACACACAAACAAGGGAUACCGCAGAUGCACGCACUGUUUGUAUGAUACCGACAAUAUAUAUUUGGAUAGUUGUAGGAAGAAUGUGUACCUGGGACAUCGUCGAUUUCUUCCGAGCAGGCAUCCUAUAAGAAAGAAAGGCAAGCAUUUCAAAGGUGAGGCGGAUCACCGGAUGAAGCCUCGCCACCAUACAGGUGCUGAUGUACAUGAUAUGGUCAAGGAUUUGAAGGUAAUCUUUGGAAAGGGUCCUGGCAGACAACCUGUUCCAAAGGACGCUUACGGACGCGCACCCAUGUGGAAGAAGAAAUCUAUAUUUUGGGACCUGCCCUAUUGGAAAGACCUAGAGGUCCGCUCCACAAUCAACGUGAUGCACGUGACGAAGAAUCUUUGUGUGACCCUGCUUGGCUUCUUGGGCGUGUAUGGGAAGACAAAAGAUACACCGGAGGCACGGGAGGACCAGCAACGUAUGCACGGAAAAGAUGGCAUACAUCAGGGUCAUGCCACCUAUGCUCUUGCCAAAGAAGAGAAAGAAAUCUUCUUUGAAUGCCUGCUCAGUAUGAAGGUACCAUUUGGCUUCUCGUCGAAUAUAAAGGGAAUAAUAAAUAUGGCAGAGAAAAAGUUCCAGAGCCUAAAGUCUCAUGACUGCCACAUGAUUAUGAUGCAACUACUUCCGAUUGCAUUGAGGGGGCUUCUGUCAGAAAACGUUCGAUUAGCCAUUGUGAAGCUAUGUGCAUUCCUCAAUGCAAUCUCUCAUAAGGUAACCGAUCCAGAAAUCAUACCAUGGUUACAAAAUGAUUUGGUGCAAUGUCUUGUCAGUUUCGAGUUGGUGUUCUCACCAUCCUUCUUCAACAUCAUGACGCAUGUCCUAGUUCACCUAUGCGAAGAAAUUAACAUUUUGGGUCCUGUAUUUCUACACAAUGUGUUCCCCUUUGAGAGGUUCAUGGGAGGCUUGAAGAAAUACGUUCAUAACCGUGCUAGGCUAGAAGGAAGCAUCGCGAAGGGCCAUGAAAAUGAGGAGGUCAUUGAGUUUUGUAUUGACUUUAUUCUCGACCUUAAGCUGAUUGGUAUUCCUGAAUCGUGGCAUAAGGGCAGACUGGAUGGAAAAGGCACGCUCGGAGGGGUUCAAAUAAUAUGUACAGACGGGCAUUCUCUCACUGAAGCACGCUACAUAGUUCUACAGAAUUACGCCUUGGUGGCUCUGUAUAUGGAGGAACACAAGAAUUUUCUACGCUCCAAACACCCGGAGUAGUCUGACGACUGGAUUACACGUGAACAAACGGGGACUUUCGCCGGUUGGUUGCAGACACGUGCCAUGCAUGACGGCGAUAUUGAAGAUGACAUGUACUUGCUGUCCCAGUUACCAUCUUCGAAUAUAAUGACUUUCAAAGGGUACGAGAUAAAUGGGAAUACAUUUUACAUGAUCGCCCAAGAUAAGAAGAGCACCAACCAAAACAGUGGUGUCCGCUUUGAUGGAACAACCAAGAUGGGAAAGGAAACAUAUUAUGGUUACAUAGAGGACAUAUGGGAACUUGACUAUGGACAUGUUUGAAGGUCCCUUUGUUUCGGUGUAAAUGGGUAAAUAUGACACGAGGCGGGGUAACGGAAGACCCACAGUAUGGAAUGACAACAGUGGAUCUCAACAAUCUUGCGUAUGCAUACGAACCAUUCAUCCUUGCCAAUGAUGUGGCGCGGGUUUUCUAUGUGAAAGACAUGUCUACCAGGCCAAGAAAAAGAAAAGAUAAGGAAGCGAAUGCAUCAUACGAUGAGCCAAAGCGCCACAUAGUUCUUUUAGGAAAAAGAAACAUCGUGGGAGUGGAUGACAAGACAGACAUGUUAGAAGAUUAUGAAAAGUUUGAUGAAAUUGCUCCAUUCACAGUGAAUAUUGAUUCGAGCAUCCAGUUAAAUGAUGAAGAUUGUCCUUGGUUACGGUGCAAAGGGACACACUCGAAGAAAAAGUUUCACACCCAAAGAUCCCACUCUGGGAUGUGAUAGGCUUCACCGUCAUCACUUUCUUUUCUAGUGACUUUCCGGACUUAUAUAUCUGGAAAUCUUUGUAAUAGUUAGGGUACUUAUGUGUUUUGGCAUUUGAAACGCGAAGAAAUUUUUAUGUGCAAACAAAUUCUUCCAUGCAUUUACGGCAAAAACUGGAUGCACUUCUUCUACAAAUUAGUUCGUCAAAUAAUUCAAAUUUAAACUAUUCAAAUUUGAAAACUACUGGCACUAACAGAAAGUUUGUAGUUUUUUGUACCUAACGAAAAAAUAUUCAGAAAUAAAUAAAUGAAAAUAAAUUAAGUAGAAAAUAAAAAAACUAAAUAAAAAAGCCCACCUACUGGGCCACAGUGGCCUGCAUACGACUAGAAACCCAACCAGUAGUUGGGCCAGGAUGCAGGCCCGCAAGGCCCAAUAGGCCCAUAGGGAAGAGCGGCAGAGUUAGGCCCAGAAGCCUGCUACAAAGAGGAGUUCAACAGAGCUGCCGCACUGGGGCUUUUAAACAUGUGCGGGCGCCCCUCGGCUAGCGAGGUGGGACUAAACUUGCCCGCACCGCACCUGCGCCAGCGCACACCUUUAGUACCGGGUCGUGGCUCCAACCAAUACUAAGGGGGGGGUCUUUAGUACCGGUUGUAGCCACCACCCGGUACUAAAGGGGGUGCGCUUCCCACCGCUUCGCCUGGCCAAAACAACCCUUUAGUACCGUUUGGUGGCUACAAUCGGUACUAAAGGGGGGUUUUAUAUAAGAAACACUUCAAAAAAAUUCAGUUUCUCAUCUCUCCCUCUGCUUCUUCUCCUCUGCCCCAUCGCCGCUGCCCCUCGUCGCCGCCCCCGUCGCCGCCCUGUUGUCGCCCAUCGCCGGCCCGUCUGUCGCUGCACCGGCCCGUCGCCGUCCCCUCUGCCUCGCCGUCGCCGUCGCCGUCACCUCGACCUCGCCCGUGUUGUGAGCCCCUCUCCCCGGCCCCUCUCCUCCCUCCAAUCGAACAUGCCGCGCCACCGGCGCCAUUGGUGCACACGCGCACGCGCGUGCGCACCCACACACAUGAUUUUGUUUUUAGUUUUUUCUGUUUUAUACAAAUGUUUUAGAUGAAUUAAUUAAUUAGAUUAGAUUAAUGUCAAAUAGUAUAUAGAAAUGUUAGAAAUGUUAUAGAAAUGUUAGUUUUAGCUAGAUGAAUUAUAUUAAUUUCAAAUUGUUAUAGAAAUGUGAGAAAUGUUAUAGAAAUGUUAGUUUUUAGUUUCUUAUAAUUUUAGUUAUAGAAAUUUAGAAUUUGCAUAUAAGAAAUCACAAUCCAAUCAUGUAAAAAAUGUUACUUUUGUGGCGUAUAGUAUUUGUUCUCGACGAUGCCCGGCCCGCAUCCUCGCCGUCAACCCGUUCACGACGACGUCCUGCUUCAGAGGACCCAUGUCCGGGACUGGGCUCCGCUAGGCUGGCACUGGUAGGUGCUACCUUCAGGGGCUCGCCGCUUGGUGAGGAACCCGGGUCCCAUCGUCGACCUUGAGCUCCUUUGGUGGUGUUCCCGUGGGCCACUUUCGGUGCGGAGGGAGCCGGCCCCGUCGGAAGUGGUGCGUCGCCGUGUCAGGGAGGAGGACGAGCAUGUCCGUCGCUACAUGGGCUCUAUGGACAUCAGGUUCUCCAAUACCUGGCAGGGUCUUUGGGAGAUGAUCGGAGCUAUGAUCCUGUGAUGGUUCCUUCUCUUUGGGUGUCCACUGCCCGUGCCUCAGGAACCACGAGUGGCCUCUAUUAUUCUAUAGUAUUUGAUCUUUAUUAGCUAGCUAGCUAGUGAUGUAUUCAAUAUAUAAUAUUCAAGAUGAUGUAUUCGAGAUUAUAUAUUAUUCGAGACGAUGCAUAUUAUGUACUAUGAUUCAGGAUUUCCUUAUUGAUUGCAUGCAUGCGUUGUAAUUUGAAUACUAAAUUGUUUUAUAUUUCUUCUAGAUUAGUUAAAUAAAAUCUAUGGCGGACAAUACCGGAAGAGAGGGAGAAGAGGCCCUAUUCAAGAUCAUACGCUCCCCUCGCUCGCCAGAUGAUCGAAAUGAAGAAGAUGACGGCUCCCAAUAUAUGAACAAUAUAGGGGAGGGUGAUGAUAUGAUAUUCGAUCACGACGACCGAAUUGAUGAAGUCAUGGACGACGACUAUGAUUAUGAUGGCGAAGAAAAUAUUGAUCUUGAAAUAACAGAGACUGGUGAGGUAUAUUUAUAUAAGCAGGCAUCUGGUGAUCAUCACAUGUUUUAAAUGAUUUGAAGAUAUAAUAACGAAUCGAUGUUUCUUCUUUCAGCCCUCCGGAUCGAGCAAAUCUUCUACAGGCAGAGUGCGAGGCCCGGGCAAAAAGUUGAAGGAGGGUGUAAACUACAACAUCGAUGCCAUCAAAACUAAUGGCGAACCAAUAGCGCCUAAGAACAUUGCAAACAAGUUCGUUCGUCAGUGCAGAGUUCUUGUGAAGGACCAACUCCCGAUGUCCCUUCAAGAAUGGAAAGAGCCAACAAAGAAACGUCUAGAUCUUACUUUUAUCAACGACAGAGCAAAAACUAUGCUUUGGGAAAAUCUCAUGGAACAUUUCUCCCUACCAGAUCAUUUCACAGCUGCAGAUGUGGAGAAAGUCAAGGAUGGUGCUCUUAGGAAGAUGGAAAUUGCAUUCAACAACCACAAGAAAACUGUAUGGAAUAACUACAUCAAAGGAGGAAAGAAGACUCCAGAAUUCAAGGGAAAACUGGAGAAGCAAAGAGAACACUGGCCCGCUUUCGCGAAAUUCAAGGAAUCAGAAUUAUCUAAGGAAUGGUCCAGAAAAAACAAGGCCAAUGCCGCAAAAAAGGAGCAAUUCCAUAGGCUGGGGCCAGGUGGCUAUGCGGUGACAAUGCCUAAGUGGGAUAAGUCUGAUCAAGAGAUGCUGGCUACACAGGUCACUCUAGUUACAUUGAGCUGGCCCCCAGGUGCAGAACUUGGUUCUAUGUGCAUAGGGGGCGUUGGACCCGAAGACAGCCAGGUUUCGAAGAAGGCAUGUCUUAAAGGAGCCGAUGUUAAGUUACUUGAAGCAAUAGAAGAUGCUCGAAAGGGGGUGUUCAUGCCCAAUAGAGAGAACGACAAGCGUUGUUCCAUGGUAUGAGGGCCCUGGGAAAUCCUAAACACUCGGGAAGAACACGAGGCAAGGGCGUUGUUCUAUGGUAUGAGGGCUUUUCUGACUGGAACACCGACUACAGAAGUCGUGCGAGAAGGAAGAUGGAGGAGGAGAAGAAUAAGAAGCUGGAGGACGAGCAGAGGAAGCAGGAAGCAGAACGCCUUCAAGGCCUAGAAUCAGCGCACGCGGACUUGGUACUCAAAUUCCAGCGGCAACAACAGCAGAUCGACUCACUUAGCCAGGAAAGGGGGUCUCAGCAGUGGCAGCAACUAGUAGAUGAUCCAGCAUUGGAUAGCACCAUCCCAUCCAUGCCGAGAAGCAGCGUGGGUACCGCCCCGGGCGAUGCACUACUGGAUAGAUACCCUGUGGAUGACAUCAUGGACAACACUAACUAUGAGCUACACUUCAAAGUAAAGAACAUAUUCAUGAAGGUGGCGAACGCCGUUGCUUAUACAAAUCCCCCCGGAGCAACCUUUCAUUGCAGAACGAUUCCAGCCGACUAUGCUCGUGUCGUGGUUGAUGAGGUGGUGGACCAAUAUUCAGGGCUACAUAUUGACAUUCCUAGAGGUGACGAGGAGCACACACUGGGAGAGGCCAUACAUCGUAUCAUCCUAUGGAGAAAGGAUUGCAUCAUCUUUUGAAGGCCACCGACACCGCGUCAGCUAGAUCUUGACAUCCCAGGAGGUGACGAGGAGUAGACGACUCCCGCUCCUCCUAGUCAGGCACAACUUCGGGCCACUCCUCCUGCUUCAACUCAGCCAACAUGUGAGGCCACUCCUCCUGCUUCAAAUCAGCCAACGCGUGAGGCCACUCCUCCUCCUCCUCCAAGUCCACCAAUGCGUGCCACUCCUCCUCCAAGUCCGAUAUCGUGUUAGCCAUCUCCGCUGCCUCAGCAAUCGCGGAAGAGAGCCGCCACAGCUAUGGUGCGUAGUGCUACAAGUUGAGGUAGUACAGGAGGUACAGGCGGAGGCAAGCGAUUUCAAUAUGGUCCAAGCCUUGGGCCUCUUCCGCAGAGGCCUUACAACAUGACCAAGGAGCAAAAUGAAGCCAUAGUGAAGGUCCAAGUGGACGCCCAUUUUGGACCGAAACCGCCACCGCCGCCAAGGGAGAAAGUGCCUGAGGAUAAGAUUGGCCGCUUUAUUCAUAUGGCUAAAGCACCAGCUCCCAAGCGUGUUGACUCAGACUAUGAGCGCCAAAUAGGAAGGCACAUCGAGCACGACAAAAGGAGUCGAGCUCGAGCUCGAGCCAAGCAGCUGGCCAAAAAUGCGGGAAAACCGUUCCCCAACUAGGAGAACAGGCAGCGCAAUCGAUCCCCCCACUUAUUGUACCAACACAUGAGAGUACCGGCGCCGGUCAGCUGGUAAUAACUGACGAGCAUAGAAGGCAGGCUGAAAUGUUCGGUAUCACUGUUGGACAACUCCUCAAGAUUGAGCCCAUGCCUCUGCUUAGAGAGGAGGGCAUAAAAUGGAAAUAUGUCUGCGGCCAACCUUUGGUCAAGCCUGAGGAGGUCAAGAACUUCCCAACGAGAAUGUAUGAAAUGCAUGAUUGGUACAUGAAAAUUACCAAGAGUUCCAAUCGAGAGUCCCUCAUGGUGAAAGUCAAGGAAGAGUAUUCAUAAAUAUUUUAGUUAUUCAAUCAAGACGCACUCGACAAAGCUCUCGUCAGCUGCUAUUGUCUGUAAGUGAUUUCUUUCUAUAAUUUAAGUCUCAAGCUAGUUGUAGUGCUCAUUGAUCGAUCAUUACCUGUAAUUAUCCUCACUAUAUUCUUUUCUGUGGUAUUAUGCAGGAUGAAGAUGUAUGAAAUGAAAAAAGGUGGACGCUAUGGCAUUGGGUUCAUUGACCCAAAUACCUUUAAUAACAUGGACAUAUCCAUGGUAUCAAGCUGAAGUAGAGAAAAAAAGCUACAGUUCUUGAAUCGCCUCAAUACCAAUGAAGAUAUACUACUUCCUUACAACUUCCUGUGAGUCACACUGUCUUGUAGUACAAAUUUUGUGUUUACUUACUAGCUAGCUAGAUUUUAAUAAUUAAGUGUAUAGGGUUUAUGGUAGUUGAUGAGUGUUAUGCACAUGCCCGCUUAAUUAAGACAUGCAAACGUGUGUGCAUGCAGUUACCAUUGGAUCUUGUUAAUCAUUUAAUUUGACGAAGGAACAGUUGAAGUACUGGACUCACUACUUAAAAAAGUGACUACUCAAUCGUGAAGGGGAUAGUCGAUAGGUAAUUUCAAUCAUUAUUAACUAUAUUGUUGGCCUCUUUAGUUCGUCAUUUCCUGAUAUCAACUAUUUAAUAACUCGUUUAUUCAUUUUCUUUGCCGGCGGGCAGGGCUUGGGAAAAGUUCAGGAAUGAGGUUCCAGGUCCAUGGAAAGAAAAGUUGCAUUGGUUUCGACCCAAGGUAUAAUUAAUUAAGUAGUACUAGCUAGCUACCAUGCAUCUUUUUAAUUCUAGUUUCAAUACCAUUAAUUAUCAUGCUUGAUUAAUUAUUAUCUGAUUAAAUUCUAUUCUCGUAAAGGCCCUGAAUCAGGCAAAGGGGACUGAUGUGUGUGCAUACUACGUUUGCGAGAACAUUCGCAUGAUGGCGUUGGAAAGGACCAAAUCUGAUAGAUAGCUAUGGGUACGUUUGACAGAACAAUAUUCACAAUUUUUACAUCAUUAUCGAUAUCUAGUCACAUAACUAAUACACAUGCAUAUUGAUCUCCUUCUUAAUAGUUUGAUUCGGUGCGGGAGACGCUCCUACCAGAGGAGCGCAUACGAGUACUUCAAGAGGAAAUAGCGGGAUUUUUGCUCGACCAGGUCAUAGAUCCCAAAGGGGAAUUCUAUUACCAGCUACUGCCCCCAUGAACCACUCCCAAUUGUCAUCGUUCUCCGCAGGCACCAAGGCAAAUGCCACUGGCUCUGAAGGCAACAUGUAGGAGAAAUUGUAUAUAUACCUAAUUGUAUAUAUAUACAUGUGUAUGUGUGUGAAUAAUGGUGGUUAAUUGUGAGACAUUCACUACAAAAAAAUACACUUCCGUGAUGAUAUGUGUUUGUCACAAUAGGUCGCAUUUUUUUUCAUGCAUGUACAUCCAUGACGAUUUUAUGACAGAAUCAAGAUAGUCAUACCUGUGCUGUCGUAGAAGUGUUCCAUGACAUUACCAAAAUUAUCAUCACGAAAGUGUCCACUUCCAUGACGAUAAAUCGCACGUCACAGAAGUGCUUUCGUCAAGGGUGACCGACACGUGUCAUCCACCGUAAUGGAACGCUGUUAAGCUAUCGGGGCAGGUUUUGGAUCCGAUAACCCAUUAACAACCACGACCAAUGGGGAUUUUCCACGUGUAAAAUCAUCAUUGGCUGGAGGAAACACGUGUCGGUUCAUCGUUGGGACAGAUGUCAUCCACUCAUUGGACAGAAGGCGUCUAUGAUACGUCGACACAUGGCAUGCCCCAACACAGGCCCAUUCCUGUGAAAAGGUCGGCCCGUUUGACCUGGUCAAAAGGUGGCGGGCCGUCCCAUGGAAAGCUUGUUAAUGGCAUGUUCGCAUAUAGCCCAUUUAUAGCCCGCUAACCCAAGGCCCGUUAUGCCCUACCCGAAUUAGGCCCAGUAGCGUCAUCUGGGCCAUCCAAUAUGAUUCCAACUUGUUUUCACUUCUAGCCCAUGAUGUCUUUCGGCCCAUAUGAGGCCCUUUGUAACUCUUAGCCUAUUAAUGGCCCGUGGUGAAACUAGCCCGUAAUGAACAGUGUAUCACUUUACACCCAUUAACGACCCGUGGUGAAACUGGCCCAUAAUGAACAGUGUAUCACCUUAAACCCAUUAAUGGCCCGUUAUUCCGUUGGGCCGUUUCCAUCCCAUGUUAUCUUUCAGCCUUCUCAGAGCCCAUUUAUUCUUGGGCUCAUUUCCAGCAUUCGUUUACUUACGGCCCGUUACUGUCAUUUUCUGCUUGCGGGCCAAAUUCAGCCCGUGGUUACAGUCGGCCCGUUUUCAUAGCGUCAUCGAAUAUGGCCUAUUAACGGUGGCCCGUUAUGGUCGGCCCAUGAACGGACGAUUCCAACUCUAGCCCGUUGACGACCAUAAUGCGGUCUGUUUGGCCCAUGUUUGGCCAAUCGAUCAUACGACCCGUAUAAGGCCCAUUGAUGAUACAGCCUGCAGAAGGCCCAUUGUUUCUAUGGCCCGUAGAAGGCCCACUUUUUCUACGGCCAGUAGGAGGCCCAGUGUCACUACAGUAAAUAUUAGCCCAUGGUUAUUGUGGCCUAGUUUUAAAAAUUAGGUUAUUGCAGCCACUAGCAAACCGCGGAAAAAGAACUGCAAUGACUACAAGCAAACAAAUAAACAAGACAGUAAGGAAAUAAAUAAGCAAGCAACUAACGCUAGGCUAUCACGGCUAUUACACAUAUUACAUCCACUGGGCAUCAAAGUUCGCCAACAGUGCAAAUAUAGGGAACAAAGCAGCAUAUCAUAUACAUUGGUUGUCAAAGUUGGCGACCAGCGCAAAUAAACGCCGAAGCAAAACAAAUCCAGAACUGAAACCACUUCAGAAGAUCUCAAGAAACAAUAUCCUGGGUACCCAUAAUGCUGGCAAGAUGCUUAGCAAGCUUAUUAACUUUCUCUUGUUUGGCGCUUAAAUCCUCCAGCGCUUGCCGUUGCACCAGGAAAUAUGCAUUUGAAUUAUGCAGGGACUUCCUCAGUCCUUCAGCUUCCUGUCGCAGCACAUCUGAUCGAUGUCUUUCAACUUGAAAUUGAGACUCAAGAAGACGAACUGAUUCAGGCAGCAAGUUCGAAGAGCUUGUGCCAGCAGUAGUGGCCAUUAACUCAAACACUACAUCAAGACAGGACUUUUGGGUUCUCUCACUAUCGUCAAGAUAGUUUUUAUCAGCUUUCUUAGAGACCAACAGGGAUGUCUCACUAUCUUGAACCUUAUCUGCAUUACUUCCUUUACCAUUGGAUAACGCGGUACUGUUCUCCAAUAUUUUGUCCGCAUUCUGAAAGAGAAACAAGCAGACACAUCACAUGUUUACCAUGUUGUAUAUGAAACUCAUUUUGGUAAAUGAGUUCAGUAGUAAAGUGGAUAGGAUAACAGCAUAAAACAAACAUAUAUCUAUGUACCAUGGUCACUUUAUGGUCUAUAUCAUUCUAGUUUUUGUUGCCAAAUCAAGAUAGAGACACAAUUCAAAUAAUAUUUGUUCAAGACAAAGCAGAAUAGACAGAAUAUAAGUGUGGGUAACUAUAGAGCAAUAACAACACUUGUAAUGUGCAUGACAUGAGAACACAACUGUUUAUUCAAUUGAAACUGAAAUCAACAUAGAGCAGGUUACAACAGCAAACCAGUUAAGGAAACAAGUUUAAAACAUACCUGUUGCGCCAUUGGAGUUUCAAUUCCAUCCUUCAAAUUUUAAAAUAGUUGGUAUGAGUAAAUACAGUAAUGCAAGAGCAAAGGAGUAUGAACCAUAGCUACAGAACCUGACCUGAGAACAAAUCUUCUUCUCCUUUAAGCGUUGAGUUGGGAUUCGGAGUGGUGGUCCUCGUGCUUUGGGCACUGCAGUUCCCUUACUAACUGCUCAUGUUUGGGUGCUCUGUGGUGGAGACGGUGUUGUGUCAACUGGAACUGGGUUACUAUCUGCCGGGGUUGGGGUUAGAAGGGGUGUAGCUGGUUCUCUGUCCAACUGGGUAGGGGUAAAAUCUGCGAGAGUCUGGGUUAUGUGUGGUGGAUCUGGUCCUUGGGCAAGUACAACCGUGGUUCUAUCCUGCUUCAACUGGUAGCACUAUCUUUUCUGAAGACCGUGUUGUUACUCCCUUAGAUAUUGCCAUCACGCUCUCCAAUUCAAAUGGCUGAUAAACAAGAAAAGUAAUUGAAAGUAUAGAUAUUGUAUGAUAGAUAGGUGCAAUGGAUAGUGGGGAAUAAAAGAGGGCAUGAAAUAAUUCAUAUUUAUGUUGUCUAACCAAACAGGAUAGCAUGACACAAUUUCACAUAUAUGAUGGCUAACUAAACAGGAUAGCAUGACACAAUUUCACAUUAUGAUGGCUAACUAAAAAAGAUAGAAAGACAUAGUUCAAAAUAUGAGACUAUGUAAACAGGAUGACAUGACAUAACUAUAUAAUGUGUUUAUUAAAUAGGUUGGCAUGCCAUAAUUCACAUACAUUCACGGAUAGAAUGCCAUAAUUCAAAAUAUGAUGACUGUAAACACUAAACAGGAUGAUAUGCUAUAACUAUAUGAUGUCUCUAUUAAAUGGGUGCCCAUGCCAUAAUUCAGAUAGAUGAUGUGUAUGUACUAUGUAAACGUGAUGGCAUGAUAUAAUUCAAAUAUAUGAUUUAUAUAGUAAGCAAGUAAGCAGAUGGCAAUCCAUAUAUGAUGUAAAAACUAAGCAAUGCAAGACAACAUGCAUGACAUGGGUAAUAUAACCCUGCCAAUUUUGAGCAUAGACCUCAGGGGGAAAUAGGACUGGUCAUCAUUCUCUGAAUCCUCCUCUGAGGAGCUCUUUGUAACUAGCAAGAUGUCUGCUUCAGCAGGUAGCAUUGUCUGCUCUGAAUAUCGUGUUUUCACUCCAGAUACUUCCAUCACCGCUUCAAAUGGCUAAUGUACAGGAAGAGUAGUUGAAUAUACAAACGUUGUCGACAAAUGGAACACGUGAUACAAAAAAAUCAUAGCAUGAUAUAAUUCACAUACAUGAUGAUUGGCUAAACAGCAUGGCAUUGCAUAAUUCACAUAUAUAAUGCCUUUGCAACAAGAUAGCAUUGUAUAAUUCACAUAUAUAAUGUCUUGCAACAAGAUGGCAAUGCAUAAUUCACAUAUAUGGUAAUUAGACACUGAACAGGUGGCAUUCACACAAAGCAUGUCUAAACUAAUCAAAUGACAUAGCAANNNNNNNNNNNNNNNNNNNNNNNNNNNNNNNNNNNNNNNNNNNNNNNNNNNNNNNNNNNNNNNNNNNNNNNNNNNNNNNNNNNNNNNNNNNNNNNNNNNNNNNNNNNNNNNNNNNNNNNNNNNNNNNNNNNNNNNNNNNNNNNNNNNNNNNNNNNNNNNNNNNNNNNNNNNNNNNNNNNNNNNNNNNNNNNNNNNNNNNNNNNNNNNNNNNNNNNNNNNNNNNNNNNNNNNNNNNNNNNNNNNNNNNNNNNNNNNNNNNNNNNNNNNUAUCUGUAACCAGCGAGAUAUGCGCUUCGUCAGAUAGCAUAGUCUGCUCUGAAGACCUUGUUUUCACUCUAGAAUUUUCCAUCACCAUGUCAAAUGGCUGAUGCACACGAAGAGCAGUUGAAUGUACUAAGAUUGUUGACAAAUGUAAUAUGUAAUGGGAAAAAACGGAUGGCCUGAUAUAAUUUACAUAUAAGAUGACUGGCUAAGUAGGAUGGCAUUGCAAAAUUCACAUAUAUGAUGCCUGGCUAAACAAGAUGGCGUUGCAUAAUUCACAUAAACGAUGAAUAAACUAAACAGAUGGCAUUCACACAAAGGAUGUCCAAACUAAGAAGAUGACAUAUUUGAUGUAUAAAGUAAGCAAUGCAAGCCACCAUAUACAUGAUAUAACCAACAUCAGCAUGCCAAGUUAGAGCGAAGACCUCAGGGGGUAAAUAGGAGUUGUCUUCUCCUUCUGAAUCCCCCUCAGAACAGAUAUCUUCCUCUCGAUUACAAUCCAAAAUGCGUGGAAGGGGGCUGCCUUUGCGCCUACCAUGGAGCGACGUCUGCAUGAAAUUUUAUUGCCAUGCAAGGCUCAUCUCUUUUGCUCUACAUGUUUAGUUCCAUUGUUUACAAUAACUGUCAUGCAUAGGAAUAAAACAUAGUGAGAUUAUGUAAGGAGUGCAUGCAGAAAACCAGAGUGAUGGUAGCAACCUGUGGAUAGACCCAAAACUAAUAAUAGCAGGCAGAUAAUGGCUUCAGUUAAAAAUAUAGAUAAUGGCUUCUUUACUGUUUGUUUCCCACCCAACAUGAAACUCAUAGUAGACACCGGAGAUUAACCAGAUAGUAGAUAGAUACUAUUGAUAGCGUCCCCGAUAUGUACCCCACAACCAUUUAAAAACUCAAGUUUGACCAUUAGUUUAGAGCUGACUCGGAGUCUAAUCGGUGAAUAGGACGAUAAAGUAGCAUGUAAUAUUAAGCAAUGCAUAACGUAAGCAGACACGAAAGAGUGCGACCUCUCUUGUGGACCCGUGUAGUCGUCGAGGUCAUCUUUUCGGUUGAUGAUGGUAAUGCAGUUUUCAUGGCUGCCGGCGGCGGGGAAGAAGAUCUGAGGUGGCGAAACAAAAUCUGGAGGCCGGAUCCCUGCUGUGCUGGACCCUUCUGUCGUUGGAGCAGCGGAGUUGGGCUGGACAAUGGCGCAGCAGGAGCGGGACAAACCACACAAGGUUUUCUUUGACAACUAUCUAUAAGAGAAGUAAUUUUGUAAGGGCUCGGUUGAAUUGGAGGAUUCCAACAAUGUAGGGAUAGGAAAUAGACAGGAAUAGGAUAGGAAUGCAGGUGCAAAACAAAGAAUUUAAAAACACAGGAUUUCUGCCAAUCUGGGUGUUUGAUUCACAACAAUUGGAAGAUCACAGGAUGCAAAGAAGCAUGGUGAGAUUAAGUCAAACCAUAAGAAAAUGUACGUUUAUAAUGCUAUUAUGCUACUAUCUCUUAGUCUUCUGCUUCGUGAAUAGGAAUUUGAAAAGGAGGACAAGUGAAAAUUAAAAUUCAUAUGUUUUUUCUUUCAAGGAGACACUAAAGGAACAAAUCCGUGUGCUUAAUGGACAAUAUAUAUAACAUGUAGAGCAAAAAAGAGAUGCAACAAGUGUACAACCUCUUUGGCGAAGCCAUGUCGAUCUCAGCAUGAUUGGGUUGGCAGGUCAGGAUGCUCCGGCUGACUUUGCUGUCGAAGGAGGGGAAGAAGAUCUUAGGCGUCUGGAGAUGGAGCCCGAGGUACUGCUCCACUGUGAUGGAGGGUUUCGUCGUUGGAGCAGAUCCGGUGAGUUGUACGACGCCGAGGCUGAAGUAGGACAAGAGAGACAACGAACAACCUUAACCUGAGUGGAAUUCUAAUAGCAUCUCCAAUACAUGAUGUAAAAUACAUAACCACAAAGUGCUAGAUGUCAAAUACAUCAGCCGCUCAUCUCUGAACUUAACUGUCGAAACUGAAUUAACUGUUGAAACUGAACUUAACUGUCGAAACUGAAUUUUGCUGUCGAAACUGAACGCACUAGCAAGGUGAGGCUACACGUCGGUCGACUGACUUUUUCAUCUCUGGUCAGUAGAUUUUGUAGCCGUUGGAUACGAAAUCAAGGGCCUGCAGUUCAUCUUCAACCUACACCCCCCUGUGCCGCCAGCCACCACCGGCCAAACAGCAGCCCCCCGCCGCCCGCGGCCGGCGGUGCGCCGCCCCGCCCGCCCCGAAAACACUCCGCACCGCCGGUCCGCCGCCGCCCCGGCCAUCCCUCUAGCCCCCCUCCCCCGUGCCGAGCUUUUUCUCCGGCAAUCCCCACGCCACCGCCCCGCCAACGCCCCGCCACCGCCGGCGACCACCACCCCCACCCUGAACCCUAAGAUAGAUAGUGGGGUACCUCUCCGGUGAGCCCCCCUCCCUGCUNNNNNNNNNNNNNNNNNNNNNNNNNNNNNNNNNNNNNNNNNNNNNNNNNNNNNNNNNNNNNNNNNNNNNNNNNNNNNNNNNNNNNNNNNNNNNNNNNNNNNNNNNNNNNNNNNNNNNNNNNNNNNNNNNNNNNNNNNNNNNNNNNNNNNNNNNNNNNNNNNNNNNNNNNNNNNNNNNNNNNNNNNNNNNNNNNNNNNNNNNNNNNNNNNNNNNNNNNNNNNNNNNNNNNNNNNNNNNNNNNNNNNNNNNNNNNNNNNNNNNNNNNNNNNNNNNNNNNNNNNNNNNNNNNNNNNNNNNNNNNNNNNNNNCGAGCCACCCUCCCCCACCCCCUGAAAAUCGACUGACCCAAAAGUCGAUUCAGUCGACUGAAGUGUAGCUAAAUUGGAGCAGCAUCACAAGCAAGAGCAAGAGCGAGAGCAGCAGCGCGAGCAAGAGCAAUAGCAAGAGCAGACCAGGCAGGGGACCGAGAGCAAGAGCAGAGCAGCAGCGCGAGCGAGAGCUAAAGCAGCAGCAGCUCCUACUGAUGUGGACGUCACCGCCGAGGGAGCGACGCCGUGGAGGAAGUGGCCGGCGACGCCGCCAUGGAUGGAGCCGCGCCGUGUCGGCUCGGGACCGAGCGCCGGCAGCACCGUGAGAUCGAAUCAAGAAGAAAAUACGGGGAUUAGUGUACAACCUCUUUGGUGGCGCCGAUUAGGCUGCAGCUUCAUCCGAGGAAACGGUGAUGAUGAUGCUCUUCCGAUGGUGCAGGUGAAGACGGCGGUGUGGGAAUGGAGGUGGCACGAAAGACGAGGGGAACAUCGGGGCAGCUCCUUGGAGGUGGAGGACGGGGUGGCUGAACCGGCGGGACCACGAGAUCGAUGAUGGAUCCUCAUCCGGUACGGUGGAUGAGGGACGUCGAGGUGUUGUCGUGGACGACAUUGUCGGGGAAGAGGCUCCGGCUGGGUGGCGGACGGAGCAUGGUGUGGGGUUUCGUCACGGGUUUUCGUAGCCUAAGUGUACGAAUUGGUGGGCGGAUGGGAUGGUAGUGGGGAACCAUGGCUUAGGGACGCGCUUGUCCGAAAUGUGGGGUAAGUUACGAAAGUACCCCCACCGAUUUGAGGCGCUUCUUUCGGUUCAGGGGUACCACGGGCAUUUCACGUGUCGGGAUUUCACAGGAGGUGGGAGUUUUCGCGCGCGUUGUAAUUUCGGAAUAGCAAGGCGCGGGUUGAGAUGGAGGGAGUUGUCGGAGCACAACGAGACAAAGAUAUAUCUUAAAUAUUUCGGGCUAACCAAGCGCAGGUUGAAAUUUCCGAACAAACCUAACAUGUACUGUACCAAAUCAAUGCGCACUACAAAUGUCAUUCAAAACUUUGAACUCAUGUUAUGUUCAAUUAAAAUAUUUCGCUACGUGUAUAAUGCAUGCAACCUACUACUCAAAUGAACGUUUUAGUGCAUUCCAAACAUAUAUACUACCGCUUCAAUAUGAACUAAAUUUGAAUUUGUUUAUCUAUUUGAAUAAGAUCUACAAUAAUGAUUGUUGUGAAGUUAAAGCAUUUGAAUUUGUUUCUCUGUUUUAAUAAGAUCUACAAUCAUCAUUAUUGUCAAGUUAAACCAUCGUUUGUGUAUUAUCUUCACAGCACACCACAUGAUUAGUCUCGACUUACAUAUGAACUAUGUGUACUAUAUGAACUCGAACUCGAUUUUUUGAAUCCAUGUUAUUUUGAUUUCAAAUCACAUUACAUUUAUAGCUCUAGCUAGAUCUUCAUAAUCUAAACCAUGUCUCAUAUGUAUAAUGUGUUUAUCACAUUAUGUAUGGUGCCCCCCCUACGCCUACAAGUAUUUAGAUGUGAGUUGCAAAUGGCACACAUUACCACAAAUUCAAAUAAAAUGUGAGAAUGUUCGAUACAUAGUAUUGUCUAGAUUGUUCGAUAUUUAGUUGUAAGAUGCAAAUGCCACACAUUAUCACAAAUUCAAAUAAAAUGUGAGAUUGUUUGAUGUAUAGUAUGGUUUAGAUUGUUUAAAAUUUAGCUGUGAGUUGCAAAUGCCAUGCAUUAUCACAUUAUGGUAUAACAUGUGCACAACACGUGUAUCACCACUAUAUUCAUGCAUGCAAUGUUUAAAACACUAUGAUCUCCUAUUCAAAUAUAUGAAUCCGCUUUCAUAUCAAAUUAUGAUAUUUGUUAGUCUCUUACACCCACACAAUCCUCUAACCUUUGUAGCUACCACUAACUUUCUCUCAUGCAUGGACACGCCCUCCUCGCCCUCCCCUCCCUCGGCAUUCUAUCCACUGGGCACAUACAUUUUUUUCUUUAGGUCGUUCUCCCAGAGUCUCCACAACUCCUUUUCGACACACAUCGAUCGAUAAACCUCUCAAGCGAUGCCUGCCUACAACAUACACACACACCUUCAAUCUCCUCCUUUAUGUGUCCUUGCCUCGUGUCUCUCAUACGGCCACACACACGUGUAAACUCUCGCCCCUCUUUUCAUCAAUCUCAUAACCGCACACUCCUCCCCUAUCUAGCUAGUAGUUGGGCCUCUCGCACCACCUCCUAGCUCCAUUCUCUCUGUCUAUCCGUCUCGCUGGGCCUUAUUUGCCUCUAACAAAUGGACGUACACUGACCGAUCUCUCGCUAUGCAUAUAGCUAGCUAGGUCCUUAUAACUCGUUUUUACCCACGCAUCGAUCUAUCUACCUCAUUAGUUGUGUCUCUCCCUUCCUCCGACAAACAACAAUUGAUCUACCGAUCUAGUUAGGUUUGCUUACCAAACACAUGGUUCCCCUUCAUCAUCCAUGGAUGCGUCCCGACAGAUCUAUCACACACAGGCACACACAGAAACGCAUCCCCACUCUUAUUGAUAACAUUGCAGUUCCACGCUCAGUUUGUCUAGUAGGCCUCUCCCACCAUCUCCGAGAAGCAACUCCAUCACCCAUCCAGCACUCUACCCCUCUCCCUCCCUCUCUCUCUCCUCUCUCUCUCUCCCAUCAUAUUUCCCGUCCUUCAGUUAUGUAUGGAUGUCGACCGAUCUCCCUCAAGACAUAGCUGGGUCUCUCCUUCUCAACACAUAUACGAGUCGUUCUACCUAUAUAGUUAGGCAUCUGCCUACCCCGCCCACCCCCUCCCCCCACACACACCGAUACAUUGAGCGCUCUAGUCAUGUCUCCCUGCCACACACAAACUUGACAUGUGCCCUCUAAUGUUCCGGUAGGCCAGUCGCCCUAUAUCUUUGACUUGCACACACACACAAUUUCGAUGGCUCUCUUCAUCGAUCUCGCACCCACCCACUUGAUCCUCUCUUCGACUCUAUCGAUAGCUAUGACCCCUCCCUCUCUUCUCGUGGAUUGCCCGACCCUCCAUGUAUGAUAUGGAUAGGCCUCCAUUUCACACACAUUGCAUGCAAAAUUUUGUUUGAGAUGUCAUCGACACAUAUUCCCACAAAUAAUUCACAAAAUCAACCCCCACCCUACCCCCACCCCGACCCCAAAACAAAAAACACUCACGAACGCGGAUUGUAUGUCUCACACACACCCACGUAGGUGGGGGAUGUGCACGAAGAGAAGAGGUGCAUGCACGACGCACGUACUCCCGUCUCUUUCCCAACCACACCCGCGCGGGUACACGGUGGAGCUCAUUUCUGUACGAAAAAGACUGCCCACGUGGUAAUUUGGCACGUGUACUGGUUGUCCACUUGGUGGAGGGAGGAUCGUCUACCACGGGUGAACAAACAAAUUGCGACUUGACGCAUUAUGUUAAAUUAAAAAAAAGAGGCAAACCAUGUGGGGCCUACCUUAGAGGCAAGGCUCUAUACACUGGAGUACUUUUGAUGUGUCCCUUCAACUCGUAGAACAAGGAGAAGCUUGCUUAGUAUGUUGUCUCCCCCGCCCACGGGCACUGUGGCUCGCAGGAUGAGGUGAAGCUUGCUCCGCCUUACGCCCGCUCCCUCGCCCAUGCGCGCGGUGGCUCGUAGGCGAGGAGAAAAAUUUACUAUUCCGUCCGUUUACUCCUCAUCCCUACUACCUUGGUUAUAGAGAUUAUAUCAUAUUGUUUGGAAUAUAUAUGUCCUUUAGUAGAUUUCAAUAUGUACUACUAGUACAUACUCCAAACACUAAUGUAUAUAGGCAUAUUUUAGAGUGUAGAUUCACUCAUUUUGCUCCGUAUGUAGCACUCUCCCUCGCCCCUCGACCCUCGCCCAUGUGGUGGACGUGCAUCAAUUCAUUCAGUCUCAUAUAGACAGAACAAUAUAUACUGCACUACCAUUAUUGCUCAACUUCCCGAAGAGGCGAAGAGCCAAUCGCAAGGUUAAUAUUUUGGAGAUGCCAAGUGCAAGGUUAUAGGAGAACGAGUAGUAGGUGCCGCGUCAUUUAUAAAUAAAGUUUUUUUCUUCAGUGGCACGUACGCAAUAUGAUAGGUUCAUAUGGGGAGAAAAGGAAACCGCUCCACUAUAUACAUAGUCAGGACGGGCCAGCCUACAUGGUUGCUUGCUGGGGUUGCUCUCUUCACACUCUCUCGCACAAAACAACUGUGGCCACAUCUUAACAUCCCAGCGGAUAAUGUCCGCUUGGGGAAGGGGUGGAUGCUUAGUGUAGAUGCAGUGGCCGUCGCCGACGGCGAAAACCCACUGUCGGCACGUCCCGAUCAGGGGUCCCCGCCGUUCUCUCUCACAAAGCUGGUGAGGUUGCCUUCGUCCCUUGCUCACUAACGCGACAUGGGCAGCUGCCACCUCCCGCCGCCCUCCUCAAGGUUGAGCUACGUCCCUCAAGUACAACUCCCUUUACAGCCGGCUUGCACCACUGCUCCAGCUGCCCACAUCACUCCCUGUGGAUAUUUCUCUACUUCUUUGCCCCGCACGUACCUCUACUGGCUUCUAUGUACUGUAUUUGUGAUGAGUUUAUGUCUCAUCAACUAGUCCCAGUAAUCUUAUUCUAAUCACGCUUCUUCAAUUUCUUUGCCACAGGGAUGCUCAUCUCGAUUUUGUUAAAACUGCACAAAAUGAUCCGAUGGUCAAAAGGUUGCAAACUUCAUUUCUUAGGAAGCCCGAACAUUGCCAACAAAUUGAAGCCUGGUUAGGGUUCACGGUUCAAGGGCUAGGGACUGCAUGGAUCUUUUUUCUUUAGCUGCCUCUGUUCCAAAAUAAGUGUCAACUUUGGUAGUAGUACAACUUUGUACUAAAGUUUGCAUGAAGUUGAGACACUUAUUUUGGAACGGAAGGAGUACAUAUUUGCUAUGAUCUAUCAAUCAUUGAGAUGCAAUAGCAUGCAUGUUAGUCUCCUUUAUAUUUGAUGAAAUGUUGCAACGGGCAACCUUGGACGGAAGAUACAUGUAACAGAAGCUGGAAGCUUCAUAGCAUUGUAAAAAUUUAUCUCGCUGAUAAAUUACAGUACGUACUAUACUAGUACUUCCUCCGUUCCUAAAUAUAAGUCUUUGUAGAGAUUUCACCAUGAACCACAUGCGGAUGUAUAUAGAUGCAUUUUAAGUGUAGAUUCAUUCAUUUUGUUCUGUAUGUAGUUCACCUAGUGGAAUCUCUACAAAGACUUAUCUACUAGUAAUAGCUAGCCCCCACUACUAGGAAUUCUCUAUCCUAUCCUUGAGCCACAUCAUCAAAAUUAAUGUAGCCGUUAGAUGAGCUAAAUCAGUCCAUAAUAGCUGUCAGAUCUAGAUGUUGAGAGGCUCCGCACUAAGCCACAUGCAAGCAUGCAGAAAUACCGUGGCAUGCAUGUGAGUGGGUUUUAAAUCACAUCAACAUGUCUGCAUGCAAGCAUGCACUGGUAGCAUGCAUGGAAGUGAGCUUUUAAGUCCCAUUAACAUGUCAAAAAGAAAAAUAUAAUCCCAUUAUGCAGUAGGAGUUGGCUGAUCUUUUUUCCUUAUGUGGGAUGAUCUACAUGAUGAUGGGAGUUUAUUUAGUUUGGCUACCACAUUUGUCAUGCGGUUAUAGAGUUUUUUUAGUUCUAUGAAAUCGACAAUUUUGCGCAGAGAGAUAUACGGUUGUUCCGCGGCAACGCGCGGGGACUCAUCUAGUAAUAUUUAGGAACGAAGGGAGUACUAUGUAAAGAGUUAGGUGUCGCAUGGUGAUAGUGUGAGGUGGGCCAUGUAAUCACUGAGCCUGCGUGUUUUCACUGCUCUUGCACUCCUCCGCUGUAAGAAUGGAGAAAAUUGUAAUCUAGUAGUAGUACCUCCUUUCGCCGAAAGCGUGGGACAUAUAGCAGUCCUACCACCUCAGUAAUAAACACCAAUGAGCUAUCAAAUCACAUAGACCCAGCAGUAAGUUGGACGGACGAAGCAACCAUCACUCUUGCGCCAGUGAGAGGUCAUGUCCUCUCUGCCCGAGCAUGAAUGCGGAACCGAUUCUAUGGAGCAGCGCCGACCGUUUCAGGCGGGAAGCGCGUGCGGGCGAUGGAGGGGCUUUGGGUGGGCCACGCUGGUCAGGAGCGGGCGUGGCAGCUGUCCGCAUGUCCCUACCGAACACGCUCGGAAACGAGAGGAUGCAUCGACUCUCGCGGCUAAAAUCAUACACUACACACCAUCUCUCUGUAGGAGUAGGUCGAUCUGUCGCUCUCUCUAACACAUGCAUGCUGUUAAACACACACACGCACACGCACACUCCUUGGUCCCAUUGCACCUUCUAACGUGACUUAUUACACCUAGACGGUGGGAGUAGUAAGUAUACGAGAUACGGUGGCACACUGACUUAAGUCGAAUACAAGUGCCCAAAAUCUGUGUGCAUGUUAUAAUAAGGAUUCACUUAAAAUAGUACGUGAGCGAACAGAGGGAUCAAUUGGACAGUGUUCCCGAGCAGUAGCGAGAUGUGUGAGGUAAGAUACACCGCUGGUGCUUUUAAUUUUUCUUAUUAAUUUGUUUGUUUCACCCUCUGACUGGUGGGACCCAAUGUACUACGUGGAGAGAGGUAAGGUGACUAAGGCUGCAUUAUUUCUGCACCACUAUGGAUAGUCUUACCACCAAAGCCACAUGACACGAUUAUGAUUGAAAUCCCAAUGACUCCCACACACACACAAAAAAAACACGGCAUGCUUGUCACACGAAUGCAGGAAUGUAUAAAAGGUUAUUUUCCUCUCGUUGAACAUAAUGGGAGGGUUGUGUAGCUAGUUAGCCUAUUCGCUCAUCAAACUUGAGGUCUCGGGUUCGAUAACUACACUUGAGCAUAAUUUGUGCCAGGAGGAUUCUUUGACUGAUCAAAAUGGAUGGAUACGGAGCUAUACGAUCUCGUAGUGACCGUAUAAUCACCUCAUCACGUAUAAGCUGCAGCCUCGGCACUUGUUUUCUAGGGUUUGUACGGUUCACACUGUCUCUCCAGUAUAUAUAUACACGCUGGAGCCUCAGCGCUUGUAGUUGCUCUCUUCACACUCUCUCGCCCUCUCCAGAUCUAAACAAGACUUCGUUGGCCUCUCUCUCCCCUCACUGCUGCUUCAAGAGCCGGCAGGAUCCGUCCGCCUGGAAGGGAAGGAGGCUUAACACUGUCGCCGUCAGCAAGGGAGGGAAUCCACUACCGAUGCAGCUGUUCACUUUCACCCAACGGCAUCGCGGGAGGGCCUCCGACCCCUUCUUCUUCGCCGACGUCCCGUAGCCCACCAAACCACGCCCCAAGAACCUUAAGGUAUAAUUUACUUACUCCACAUGCAUUGCUCUAGCUGCAUGUAUACCAUUAAUCUAGGACUUGGUUCAAAGAGGAAAGGAGUGGGGGAAAGUAGUGGGAAAAGUUGUAUAUAGCAUGAAUAUAGGACGUGGUUCAAAGAGGAAAUGAAGGGGGAAAGUUGUAUAGUAUGAAUCUAGGACGUGGUUCAAAGAGGAAAGGAAUGGGGGAAAGUAGUGGGGAAAGUUGUAUCGCAUAAAUCUAGGAUGUGGUUCAAAGAGGAAAGGAAGGGCGAAAGUACUAGUUCAAAAAGGAAAGGAAGGGACAAGGUUGUAGAGUUUGAGCAGGACUAGAUUUGCUGCGCUCACAUAGGGAAAGGUGUCUAAAGGUAACAAAACUGGGACCAACACAAAUAUGCUCCUUGGUUGUUUGUUCUUUGUUGCAAUAGACUGUGCAUGACCACAGACAUCCGUAGAUGCACAUGGUGCUGGUGCGUCCACUAUCCCGUGCAACUCAUUAGCUGUUGUUAAUCUAAGGCCCUAUUUGGUUAAAAACUCCCUAGUUCCUACCUGCUUGGUUCCAGGGACUAAACAUGGACUAGAGGUUAUUAAAUGACAUGCUAAAAGACCAUGUUACCCCUAGUAAUGAACUAAUAGAGACAAGGUGCGAUGCGUGGCAGGGGCAACUAUUGGAAAAAGUCCCAAAAAGGCUCCCUCGAGGUCUUCUUUCUUUAGUCCCAAAUGCCCACUUUUAGUCCCUAAAAGUCCCUCCUGUUUGGUUUAGAUGGGACUGACACGGAGUUUUUUUUAGUCCCUACACCAAAAUGUCCCUGUAAACAAACACCCUCUAAUAAUGCCGCUGGAAAAUUGAUGCAAUGCCACAGUUAAAAGCAAAUUACAUGUUUAGCGAAUUUUCUUGUUAAUACAAUCUCUAUGUUAAUAUUAAUCAAUGCCACCAUUUGAGAAAUGCUACUGUCUUGCUUUCUUUCCCAUUUAGAUAAGGUAGAUGCUUCUUUUUGUUGGCUUCUGUGUCAUCCACCAUUAUUGACCACUAAUUGUUUCCUUUGCACCUCUGUGUAAACACGAUUAUCUACUUCACCUUGUUGCCAUUGUGACCUUUUGUUGCACUGCACAAAACACUUUUGUUUUAAGAGUGUUUUGUGCAGUUCAACCAAAAUGUCACACCGACAACGUUGAGUGGAACUGCACAAGAGGAGAUCUUACUUCCUAUCCGUUUUGGCAAAUUUGGUUCAAAUCUUCUUCUUGUGAGUUGUUUGAAUUCCGCAUCAUGAGAGGUCAGUACUAGCCUUCUUUCACAUGAUUCUGCAGUGUGCUUUCAUAUGUUGUGCUACUUGUACGAUGAUGUUGCUUGAUUUUAGUGAACUGCACAAAUGGAGACAAGACUUCGAAUCUGUAUGUGCACCGUAAUAUCCCAUUGAGGUAAGAUAAGGAUAUUUCACAACUGUUGGCCUGCAUUUUGCAACUUUCAUCAGAAAAUUAAGUUUAGUACUAUACUUGUGCUCCCUAAUUGACAUGCCAAAUCUUACAUUGAAGGCGAAGCCUGUCUAUUAUUGAACCAAGUGACGAAGGGGAAGAACAAACGGAAGGAAAACAAAAAUCAACUCCUGGUGCUGUAAUGAAGCACUAGAACUAUUACGACACAAGUAAUGAUAUAGUUUUGCAUCUUAAUUUAUUUCUAUGGCUGGAACGAGCAAUUGUUUUGCCACUGAUUUGAUGCCACUCUGAAAGUAAUACGUAAUUAUCUCUACUUGUGCAAACAGGGAUCUUCUUUGAAGAUACCAUAUAUUUUAGUGGAACUGCACAAGAAGAUGUUGGAAACAUUAAACUAAUUGAGGAGGAUAUAGUAAGCAUGGCCACCACUGUAGAUAGCAACAGAUGGUUCCGGAGAAGUGCUUCAUCUGUAUGCUCUACACAAUAAGCCUCCUGACAAAGGUUGGUACUCGCCCACUAAUUUCAUCCAUAUGAUUGAGCUUUGUCAUCUCUAUUGGUGUUGUGCUACUGUUUAGAUACUGUCAUGAAAAAGUGGUAUUGUCCUUGAGAAGUGCUUCAUCUGUGCUGUUUUAAAUAUUUCCUUUCCUUUUUUUCGAGCAAAUAGGGAUGCUAGCAUUUAGUAGUCCUCUUGUCUUUGCACAACAGGAUCAUCUUCCUCUGAAGAAGAAUAUGGAGUACGUGAAGUGACUAGUUCCGAUUAUGCCAGGAUGAAGAAGCCAUGUCUAUCUUCUCAUCAGAAGGAGUAGUUAAAGGAUGGUUACAUUACUCCCCACAAGACCAAACUAACUUCAGCUCAGAAGGACUGACAAAUCUCCAUUUUUUGCUGUGAUGCCUGAGUACAAUGUUGUUCUAGGAUUCUUUCUGGUGAGUUCCAUUUUUCUAAAAGUGUGCUCUACAUGGACCAUGUAGGUGCAUGUUGAAACUGUCAAUUCAUAGUACAGUUUGCUUUAUACUAAUCACUUUUUUGUAUUUGUACAAACAGGGGUGCUCAGCUUGAUUUCAAUGGGAACUGCACAAAAUAUUCAUGAAUACAUCGAAUCAUUCAUUUCCACCACAAGAAAGGAGGUGCCGAUAAGUUCAAGGCAUUGCAACAUAUAAGGGAGAAAUCAUACAAGCUAUGCGCGAAUUUGGUUGAUUUUGGUGGAACUGCACAAAAAGAACAGCUGGUUUAUUUAGCACGAGGUGCCAUGUCAAUGUCCGAACUGAUGGCAAACCCUGCCGAUUCUACAAUCGUAGGCAUUUGAUAUUUUGGAAUGGGACAACCUUGUCAAAUUUUGCUCAUUGAUUUUAGCAAGACAUGCGUUUGAUAUUUUCGAAUGGGACGCCCUUUGCUGUCAGCAGCGUUGAUCAAUUUUUUAUUCAUUCUUUAGUUGUGAAGUAAAUAUUGCCUCUGACAUGUGAGUCAGUGAGAUGUAUAAUCAUCGAUUGUUUUGAAUGUGCUCAAUGAAUUGCCAGCCCUGUGUGUUUCAUUGCAAUGUACAAAAAUGCUAAAAAGCUGCUCAAACUCUUUGUACUCCUUCUGUUCCUUUUUACUUGGCAUAUUGUGAAAGUGCAUACUUUUUUGUAUAAGAUUGGUCAAAGUAGAGAUACUUUGACUGCAGACAAAACUUGUAUGCAGACUAGAAAGGACCGGAGAGAGUACAUGUGAAACUACUGCAAAUGAGGUGAUCACCCUGGGAAUAAUGCUAGUACGUUUUGUUUUGCAUGUUCAUCCAAUGCCAGUGAUACAGGAAUUCGAACUAAUCAAAAUAAAUUCAUUCAUACACGGUUGGAUUUCAUAUAAACAUGCCGGAUUUCAUUACAUUUCAUACAUUCUUCAACUAAAAAGGGGUGCGCUGGAGGUAUAAUUAAUUAACCGAAGCUACCCACCUAUGUCCCGCUGAGCCGAACAGAAGCUUCAGUGACUUAACUGCAGGUGUAGUUGCAUAACUGACAUGUGGCCUGUUGGGCCCACGUGUCAGUCAGCCAACUGCACCAGCAGUUAAGUAGAAGCAGCGUUCUUCUCCAGUGCAGCUCUCCGACUCCACGUCGCCGUCAAGAAGCUAACCGGCCGUCAAUGGUCAACCCGCCUAGCUUGGCUUCAGCCGAAGGGUAGCAGCGGUGGCCUUAUGUGGACCCUAGCGGCGGCGACCUACCGUGUUCUACUCUUCCUUGUUUUCUGUGUGGCGCGGCCUCGUUGGCAGCAGGGCGGGGCCUCGGUGGAGCCGUCGAUGUCCUCUGUCUUGUUGCCGGCGGGCGGUGCCUCGGCGGAGCGGUGGAAAUCCUCCCCCACAUUAGCGGCAAGGUGGGGCCUCGGCUGAGCCGGCGAUGUCCUCUGCCUCGUUGUUGGCGGGGUGAGGCCUCGGCGGAGCCGGUGGUGUCCUCUGCCUCAUUGUUGGUGCCGCGAGGCCUCGGCGGAGCAGGGCCUCAUCGACACCAGCGGAGCGGGGACUCGUCGGAGCCGACAUUGUCCUCUGCCUCGUCCUCGGUCUCGCCAAACAGCGCCUCGCCCGCUUCAUCGCCCUCUUUGCUAGCCUCUAUGUAGGUGGCAGCAGCCUCCGCCACCCACAUGCAGUACCACCAGCGCUUGAGGCGGCCCUUGUGGGCGGAGUGGUACGAGUCGAGCAGCGCCUCCUGCUCCGCCCGCUCCGCGGUGUUCUGCUCCUCCGCCUGCAGGUGCCCCUGGAGGAGAUGGUGGUUGUAGGCGGUGUCGGCCUGCGCCUCCCGAAACUUCUCCUCACGCAUCUGCCUCACCGUGUCCAUAAAUUGGGCAUGGGCCUUGCCGAUGGUCAUGGUGCAAUGCACCAACGAGGAUGGCGUGGAGGAGGGGGUUGGCACCGGAUCGUCGACUACCAUGGUCUCCAUUGGGACGUCGUCGUCCUCCGGCUGCCUGCCGGCCAGCCGGUCGGCAGCAAUGGCUGCCAUCUACUUGUGGUCCGUCGUCCGCCCAUCCCGAAGAGUGCUGGAGCGCGAGGAAGCCAUGGUGGGCAGUAGUGGUGUGGACAGGAGAAAGGGAACGGAUGCGGAUGACUACGACUAUGGCCGGCGCAGCAGUUUAUAGCAAUGGUGGGCGGCGGAGGGACGGACGUGUGGCGCCGGAGUAGCCGCCUCGGCAACCGUGUAUCAUUAAUGUGGGCGGUAGAUGGACGGACGGACGACACUUGUGUCGUUUGAAGGCGGAGCAAUCGCCUGCAACAGGAAGCGGGGCGGGCGGCGCUCACUAUUUCAGGCGGAAAGUGCGCACGGGCAAGGAGAUGACUUUACUUGGAGAGGAUGACAAUGGGGACCCACCAGGGCCAUAGCCUCACGUACGCAAGUGCCUCCUUAUUAUAUAUAUAUAAAACUAUAAUUUAUUUUGCUUCCUCCUCGUUUCCUGACAUCACGGUCCCACGCCAUAGUCAAUAAAUGAGAGAAUUGCACAAGAACGGCCGACAGCUGGUGUCGGUGUCAAAACCGGCGGAUCUCGGGUAGGGGGUCCCGAACUGUGCGUCUAGGCGGAUGGUAACAGGAGACGAGGGACACGAUGUUUUACCCAGGUUCGGGCCCUCUUGAUGGAGGUAAAACCCUACGUCCUGCUUGAUUAAUAUUGAUGAUGUGGGUUACAAGAGUAGAUCUACCACGAGAUCAAGGAGGCUAAACCCUAGAAGCUAGCCUAUGGUAUGAUUGUUGUUCGUCCUAUGGACUAGGGCCAUCCGGUUUAUAUAGACACCGGAGAGGGCUAGGGUUACACAGAGUCGGUUACAAAGGUAGGAGAUCUACAUAUCCGUAUCGCCAAGCUUGCCUUCCACGCCAAGGAAAGUCCCAUCCGGACACGGGACGAAGUCUUCAAUCUUGUAUCUUCAUAGUCUUGGAGUCCGGCCGAUGAUGAUAGUUCGGCUAUCCGGACACCCCCUAGUCCGGAACUCCCUCAGUAGCCCCUGAACCAGGCUUCAAUGACGACGAGUCCGCGUGCAUAUUGUCUUCGGCAUUGCAAGGCGGGUUCCUCCUCCGAAUAAUUUAUAGAAGAUUGUGAACACCAGGAUAGUGUCCGGCUCUACAAAAAUAAAUUCCACAUACCACCGUAGAGAGAAUAAUAUUACACAAGAUCAAUCUGCUGACGUAUUCUGUGGCGUGACGUCACACCACUUCCAAGCCUUUACUCGAAUUGUUUUUAUUGUUCCACCUCAGCGCGUUUAGCGAGGAGGUUUCCUUGGCACGUCUUGUCGAAGCAGAGAUCGUGUUCCCCUUAUUCCGGGAUUCCCAUCAAUACGGACGUGGGUAACCCAACCGCGCCAUUAAUUGUGAUGCUUGGGAGAUAAGCGAGUUUUACCAGGCUGGUGGGGACGCGUGUUUCCGUCCGCCCAUAUAAGGGGAUAAAGAUCCAACCUUUUUACCUGCGCCUUCUUCCUCCUUGGCUUAUCCAUCUUUGUGAACUCGAGCUCCAGCGCCUAAGUCUGUACUUCUCACCUCAACCUUAUCCAACUAUGUGCGGAGCGGGAGGCAAGUGGAUGGCCUCCUCCGUCAUGGAGGGGCAGAUCCAGAAGCUGCGCGACGCCGGAUACUUGUCCAGCGACAUCGCGCAUCGGCUCCCCGACAAGGGAGAGCUCAUCCCCAACCCCAGGCCCCAUGAGAGGGUAGUGUUUCUUCCCCAUUUCCUCCGCGUACUGGGCUUCCCACUUCAUCCCUUCGUCCGAGGGCUCAUGUUCUACUACGGCCUGGAUUUCCAUGAUUUGGCCCCGAAUUUCAUCCUCAACAUCUCGGCGUUUAUCGUCGUGUGCGAGGCCUUCCUCUGCAUCCAGCCCCACUUUGUCUUGUGGCUCAAGACCUUCAGUGUCAAGCCGAAGGUUGUGAAGGGCAGCCAAGCGGAGUGCGGAGGCGCCAUGGUGGGCAGGAUGUCCCACGUUACGUGGCUGGAAGGCACUUUCAUGGAAACCAUCAAGGGGUGGCAAUCGGGGUGGUUCUACAUCACCGAGCCGCGUGACGCCGAUUGGGCAGCAGCCCCCGAAUUCAGAUCCGGCAUCCCUACACGGCUCACCUCCUGGAAAGAGAGUGGCCUGAUCUGGGGGAAUUCGGAGGAGCUGACCGGACUCCAAGCCUGUAUCCAGAAGCUGGUGGACAAGAAGCUCAAGCUUGUUAACAUAGUCCAGGUCAUGCUCAUCCGCCGGAUUCUCCCGUGCCAACGACGGGGUUUCAAGAUGUGGGAGUUCGAUCCGGCGCAGCACCAGACCCUGAGUGGGCUCUUCGACACUACGUACGAAGAUGUCUGGAAGGUGCUAUUCAAGGGCGCCGAAGCUCCCACAUCCGCUACCGAAGAUCACGGAUUCCGCUUGCAGCGUCCGGCUGACGAGGUAAGUGAUUUUGCCACUUGUUUUCCAUAGUUUGACUCUAUGCGGGAUCUAAACUCCCUUUACCUUUGAUAGGACUGGCUAGCGAAGGCCGAACAGACUAUCUGUCCGGCCCCAUUGCCAGAGGACCUAGCGGAUGCCCGCCUAACGGGGCUGCUGGCUCCGGCACCCCACAUGGUGCCGGAGAAGAAGGCCAAGAAGAAGGCCACGGGGACUCGGAAGAGUUCCCGUUUUCAGGUGCUAUCGGAUGAUGAAUCCGAGGCCGACUCCUCCCACCAAGGCGAGGAGGAGAAGAAAGCCUCUCCCCCAGCGGGGGGAGGGAAGAAAAGGAAGGCCUCCCCAACAAGGGAGGCCGAAGGGUCCAAGAAGGGAAAAACUCUUCCCCCGGACCGCUCCACCAACGCCAGUGACGACGACGAGGACUGGCCUCCAAGGGCCAAGCCCCUGGCGAGAUCGUAAGUAUCCGGACUCCCGAAUAACUUCAAGAUUUUUUUCUUUUCGCUGCAUAAUGUCUUUCUAAUGCCGCAUACAACCCUGCAGUCCGCCCAAGGAUGAUCUUCCCGUUUCGUCGAGCGGGUCCUUGGGUGGGUCGGAUAUGGAUUCCCUUUCGACUGCCUCCACCCCUCGUGCCGCGGACGACGCCGAGGUGGUGUCCCAGGAAGGGACCUACUAGGAGGAGGAGGCCCCGGAGGUGUUGCAGGACAACCUCCCGGACUUUGUACCAGACUCAGCCCCGGAGGCCACAGUGGCUCCGGAGUCCGGCGGGCGACCCCUUCGUAAGAAGGGCAAGACCAUGAUGCCGGCUGCCUCCGUCCAACCGGAGGUGCCGAAAAAUUUGCUGGAGGCGCUCAACGGCGCCUCCAUCGAAGAGGAACACCGCACUGUUAUGAGUGCGGUGAUUCAAAAGGUUCAACUCGCCAAGAGCGGGCUGACUGAAGCCUGCAGCAGCCUUCUAACAGGCUUUGAGGUAAGAAUUUCAAUAUAUGUAAAACGGUACCGCAUAGACAGUAGCCCCUGAUGCUUGGUUCGGUGUUCAGAAAGAAAAGCCGGACUGAGGAUCUUUAGAAAGAUAAACGCAGGAGGCAUGAAAAUAUGUCAAUAUGGGAUUGCAGGCUGUGCUGCUGACCUCCGCCGCACUGACUGCGAAGGUCAAUACUUUGAAGGAAAACCUCGAGCGGUCCGAGAACGAGCUCGGCCGUGCCAAGAAGCGGCUCGAGGAAAAAGAAGGUGAGUAAUACCUUAUGAAAAUUGUACCUUACAGAAAAGGAUUUGGUUGCAAGAAAAAUGACAAGGAUAACUUGGGUAUUGCAGGGGCCACUAACGAGGUGGCGACCCUGAAGGAGGCAGUGGCCGCGGCCGAACGCAAUGCGGCCGCGGAGCGCAUCGAGCGAGAGAGGCAGGAGGCGCGGGUGGCGGAGGUACAGCAAGAGCUCCAGGAUCUCGUGAAAAAACAUGAGAGCUUGGAGCGUGACUCGAAGACUCGAGAGUCUGAGCUUGCAACGGCUCCAAAGCCGCUAAGGCCGAAGCCUACAAGGCCCUCCAGGAGAUUGAGGCGGUGAAGAAAAUAGCAGCAGGUAAGGCAUUUUUCAUGCAAAGUAAGCAUGUGAGUGUUAAUUACCUGUCGCUUACCCGAAUUUGGAGCUCUCCAAGAGCGUUCGCAGAUCUUCCUCGCAGCGUGUCUGAUGCUGCCACAUUCUACCGGGCCGAGGAGGGGAGCUCGACGGAGAAGGUCUUCUGGUCUCAGUAUGCUGAGGCCGUACAUCCGGUGCCCCUUAGCGACCAGCUGAAGCAGCUGGUCGAGCUCCACAAGGCGGCCGAACAGGCCAUGAAGGGCCUCAUAGUUCGGCUGUGGCCUAAGGAGGCUAUGCCUGGGAGCUACUUCGGCCUGGUGCGGCGGCUGGUGGAUGCGUGCCCGUGGGUUGAAGUUAUCAAGCACUCUGCCUAUAUUGAGGGUGCCCAUCGGGCCCUUGCCCGCGCAAAGGUGCACUGGGGCAAGAUGGAUGCCCAGAAGCUUGUGACGGACCCCCCACCAGAGGGCAAGGAGCAUCGCAUGCCCGAGAUGUAUUAUAAGAGUGUGAUGAAGGGCGCCCGCACUAUUGCGGGUGAGUGCUCCAAAGAUGUAAUAUUUGAGUAGACUCGCAUUUUGUUAUCCUGUGCGCUGAAAACUUGGUUCAUAUGCGCUAAGCAACGCUUGUUAAUUUAAAAUAUCACCUUCUGUGCGGCUGUUUAUCAAAUCUGAGAGAUGACAAGUCGUCGGCUUCAGCCCCCAUGCCACGAGUGCUGGGGUGUUCGGGAUAAACUCGAGCGCUCUUGUUCCCAUUUUUGGGUCCAUCUAGGGAGGCGCUCGACACAGCGAACAAGGCAACCGGACUUAUAAUGCUUGAACACUCUCACUUAGCCAUAGAAUUCUAUAAUUUUAAAUUUCGGCGAAGCCCCUAGUCUUCGGAAGGCCGAAUUUGGGGCGCUAUCCACGCCUUGGCCGGACAGUAUCCGGCUCCUCGCUCUAAGCGGCAUAAGUCUUUAAGGACUCGCAAAAAACCUCUCGAACAGCGACCGGCUCUCGCCUCAUCAUGACGGUCAAUUUUAGCUUUCUCCACUAAGGCGUUAACCCAGCUCAACUGGGGCGCAAUCGCAGUGGUUCUCCCAGUGCUACGUUAGCCGAUAUAACGGAAUGUAAGGUACCAAAACAUGGGAGCCGGGCAAACCCAACUAUUGACCCAAGACAUGAUUCAGAGCCGAUGCAUAUAGUGCUAUAAGUUCGUGGUGCCGCACUUGUGAAAGUGUUCGGACUCAUCACACCAUAAUGCGGGGAACAUAAGCCCCUAGUGUGUAUUAGCCGUACCAAAGUGUACGGAUGCAAUAUGCCGUGGAUGAACAUAUGUAUGAAAAGGAAAUGCAAUUAUAAGCAAAAAGGUGCUGCAUUGUUUUAUUCAAUAAGUGCUGCUACGAAUGCAGAACGAUACAAAUUGUGCGAUAAGCAAGGUAUGGGACUGUUAAACAUGUCCCCCUCCAGGGGUAGACUGCAAAUUGGUGUAUAAAAAUGCUCGUAACGGAGACCACCUGUAUGUUCAUUGUAGCCUUUAUCCUUCCCUGGUUGUUGCAUCGUGAGUUCGGCAGAUCUGCUGCCGGACAGGGCCUCUGACGAACGGAGUCCUGUGAGUAAAAAAUAAAAGGUAAAAAGAAAAAAAGAACGACACACUUGAGAGCCCCUGGUGUGGUUGAGCCACAGUCUGGGUUUAUCGUGGUCGUGCCCCUCUCCCCAUGCCCAUGGUAUCUUCAGAGCGUAAUGUUGUACGCGAAGGACAUGCUUUGACGUUUCGCAGGAGCUGGGGUUGGGGCCGCACUGCUACGCGUGCUCGGAAUGUGCUAGGUGGUCUUGUUGUAAGUUACUCCGGGCGCGCUUAGCUGUGUCCGGCCGCUUAAUGGCUGGACUCGAGAAUUGCCUUAAGAGGCUGCAUUGCACUUCUACCGCAAGAGCCGUUGUAUGUUCCUACGUGCGGAGAGAACGUUCAGUGUUUUCGUUGACCGUGAUGAGUCCUCGAGGGCCUGGCAUCUUGAGCUUGAGGUAUGCGUAGUGCGGCACUGCAUUGAACUUUGCAAACGCGGUACGUCCGAGCAAGGCAUUAUAGCCGCUGCGGAACGGGACUAUGUCGAAGAUUAACUCCUCACUUCGGAAGUUAUCCGGGGAUCCGAAGACCACUUCCAGUGUAUUGAGCCUGUACAAUUGGCUUCUGCACCUGGUAUGACGCCUUUAAAGGUCGUUUUGGUAGGUUUAAUCCUUGCGGGGUCUAUGCCCAUUUUGCGCACUGUAUCCUGGUAAAGCAGGUUCAGGCUGCUGCCGCCGUCCAUCAGGACUCUUGUCGGGGAUAUACCCCGCGGCGUAAACCGGCCGGAAGUAUAACCCGGCCGGACUUGGCGGUUUACUGAGAUCCGGCUGGCACUUGGCGAUUCACUGGCGACCCGCCCUGACCUGGCGGUUUACAAGCAACCCACCUGGUCAUUAUGACUCACUGGUGACCCGGCGGGCGGGUCAGAGGAGCGACAAGACCCGGUGGCCCGUCUGGCGGUUCAUGAAGGCCGGUUCAACUGCUGGUUUAAGAGGAAAGGCAUAAUGAAUAUUUGUCUUACAAGGAGUUAAGACCUGGACUUGUAUCCGGUUUGUAUUAGAGAUAGACUAGUCCGAAUCCUAAUAGGACUCCACAUGUAACCCGCCCCUUCAACAUAUAUAAGGAGGGGCAGGGCUCCCCAAAGAGUGACAAGCUACAAGCAAGAAGAAAUAAUCUUAGGGCUAGACACAAAGAGGAGAGCCGGUUUACAGCGACUCCCUCGUGAUGAUAAUGAGACCUAGCCUCAAACAACAUGUAGGGUUUUUACCGAUGAUGUUUCCCGGGGCCCGAAGCUGUCUAAAUCCCUAUCUUGUGUUGCGUCUCUCGAUUCCGCUCAACCCCUCUCAAGCUACCACAUAGAUGCGUUGGCCUCGCGACUAAGUCCUGACACUAAGGACAUCUGACGUGUUAAUUCCACGACAGUUGGCGCCCACCGUGGGGCUGGCGCACGGUGGUGAUGAGUUCUUGGAGGGAUCUUUUUUUUCAAGGAUCGAGAAGUUCAUAACUUUCCGGAUGAAGAGAAACCGGUUUGGAAGGAUUUGCAUCAAUUUCAAGUCCAUCAGUCCAAGGUUCAAGAUUUGUAAGACUUAAAGUUCAAAGGAAUUAGGGGAGCGGCUGUGCGCUACCUUAAACCGCCGAGAUUAACAGGAAAGAAGCGACAAGUCGCCAAUACCAUCUUCUUCUAUGGCCUAUUUUGCCCUUGGCGUGUCAAGUUUCCAUUAAUAACUCGCCGAAGCCGGCCGGCCAUUUUGUUUUGGUGUGUGCGCCGCGGCCAUCGGUAUCUUUUCAAUCGAAGAUCGAUUUCAACAAGAAGCUGUGUACAUCGGUUCAAGUACAAGUAAUUCAACUAGUACUCAUCACAUCAAGCUACAGUAUUUGUUACCCACUGCUAUGUGUACGGGUAAGGCAACAAACAGCGGCCAAAUCCACGUCUGUGCUACGCGUUGAUCAAGGCAAGCCAGACUACCAGAGAAUAUCAACCAUGGACUAGUAGUGCUAAAAAGAAAAAAAGGGGGGUCGCUGCGACCCGGAACCGGAUUAGUCAAAACGCGCUCGGUUCCUGCUAUCGAAUCGCCCUUGCCUUGAUCCGCCUUCUUCCCGAGCUACAUGUUGCCGCGACCCGGAGUACAGAAGUAACCCGGAAACUGAUAUGAUCAAUGACUCGGAUUAGUCAAAUCGCGCUACCUGGAGCCACCCCUACCGCGACCUUUCGCCGAGCCGUCGCGCGCCUUGGGCUGUCUGCACCCACGAUUCGGCCUCCUCUGCUGCAGAAGACCGGUGCCGGAUUAUUGCCGCCGCAUCAGCCGCGUGUAGCUGUGGUCGUUCCUUCUGCUAUUGUGUGCGCUCGUGCCAAACCAGCCACGGCCGUGCCUCUCCAACCCGGGCUGCCGUGCCUCCAGCGUAGCCCCGGGCCGGAUCUUGCCUGCUCACGGCCAAUGCCAUCCGCCAACGGCCACCGGCUCCACCCGUGCUCGGCCGCGCCUGUCCGUCCGACUCCGCCCGCACUGGCUGCCCGCAGCUCGGCUAGCUGGCUCCUGUGCCGGCCUCCCUAUACCGGCUCCGAGUCGCCUGCACCGGCCUCGUACCACACCAGCUUCACCUAUACCGACCAAUCACCUCCUCUUGCUCUGCGCGCUUGUGCUGAACCAGCCACGACCGCGCCCCUCCAAAUCGCCUUCUACCACGGCCGGCUUCAACAACAACUUCGACAUCUACUGUUGACAAAUUUCGGAGUCCAUCACACCCGGCUUCAGCAACAUCGUGAUCUUCUUCAACUCAAGCUAAGAAGGCUCGGAUCAUGCCACCUCCGGUUCAGCAAUCUCGCGCUGUGAAGUCUUCAAAAUUCCGGCUCUCGCUGCUAUCUCCAGCCGUCAGUCAGGUUACCUGCUUACGACUCCCGCUAGACCAUCUUCGACUUCGCUGGCUUAUGCCACAUAAUAAAAACAAGCUAAGUCACUUUUACAUUUAAAUUUCAUUUUUUUCCAGCCAAUUAAAUAUAUCCGGCACCUUUGAGUUAAUCUUGGGGGCUAUCAUUUCUUCUCAUAAAGUUGAGUCGUAAGGUUACCAAAGAGGACUAUUUGCCACGAUGCACAGUUCAAACAUGGAUGCCCUACAUAUCAGCGAAAUAAUUUUAUGUUCGUUCUUUACUAAGUCAGAUGCAACUCGUAACCGACCAAGUAGUGGGUAUGGUAUUGUCGAUCGACUCUGAUGCUUAUCAUGGACUUUGUCGACCUUGAAUAUAUCAUAUUCCACGAAAAAAGUCCAUGCGUGAGCUUACUUAGUCGAGUCAAACGAUUAACAAUUUGAACACAAGUUGACAAAGUCAUCAAAAUUAUUAUUUAAUUUUGUUUUAUAUAUCACGAAUGGUGUAAUGCAUUCAUGUGUUUUAUUUCAGGAACAAAGAGCUUGAAGAUGACUCCUCGAGUCGCCUCAAGCCUCGGGGGCUAUCAAGCCAGAAUUUGUGAAAAAAUGGAUUUUGUUCGUUACCAGAACACAAGUUCACAUACUCUCUCGUCCGCGCCGGCUUACAACACCUUGUUUGGUUCAUCUGUCUAAGCCGCUUCUGAUGAUGCGGUCGUCCUUGCCAUCCGUCUCUCACGGCCUGGUCUACAUCAACAUACCUAGCCGCACCUGUCUGCAUGAGCUGUUUAUUGAGUAUGAGCAAGUCACAGCUUGGGUAGCCCGGUUUUUUCUUUCAACAAUUUGGAGGCGAAUUAUCAUCAACCGCCAUUUGCACUGGAUGGCUCAAUGGGCAGGCGCACAAGUCGCCGCCACUACAGUUUGGUUAACUUCAAAUCGCCAGUUGGAAGGAACCAUUGGCCGAGUUGCUGACACGGCUCAUACGAGAUCAUUUAUAACCCACCGCAGUCACCUCAACCUUCUGCGGAUUCACAUCGUGCUAUCAACACCAAUGAUAUACAAGUUAUGCCGGCUUAUAUCAUGGUCAAAUAUGGAGAGUUUCAAGCCAACUCCUUGAGUCACUUUGAGACUCAGGGGCUACGAUGACAUGACUAAGCAAAUCUUGCCAGCAAAUUUAAGAACCCCAGGACGAUGGAGGGAAAUAUAACCCGGUCCCGGAGGCUACUGUUAUUUGAAGGCUGUCAGAAAAUUUCCGGCUUAGUAAGUAUCUGAUAGUUACAAUAUCCCGGCUCAAUGAAGAAGUUCCAGAUCAUCAGAAAGGAUUCCGGUUUAAAAUCUGGCUCAAGGGAAGUCAGUCUCAUUGAAGCUCUCAAAUAUCUGGUUUACAAUCCGGUUCAAGGGAAAUCUGUUCUCCCACAAAGCUCUGAAGCGCCCAAAUCCGGUUUAACAAUGUCCGGUUCAAAAAGGAAUUAACUUCUCGCAAGUUCGAGUUUAAAGACCGUCAGAAAAUUUCCGGCUGAAAAUGAAGAUUCCGGUUUAAAAUCCGGGUCAAGGGAAAGAUGUCUCCCACAAAGCUUUGAAGCUCUCAAUAUCCGGUUCAAGAUCCCGAUUCAAGAAGAAUUUAUCUCUUGCAAGAAAGUUAAAAAUUGCCGAACAGGACCUGCUGCCAUGAUGCGCGGUUCAAACAUGGGUAUCCUGCCUUAUUGGCCUAACAUAUUAUUGAUCUCAUGGGGGCUUCUGCUUCAUAAAGCGGGUGAUGGAGUCACGUACCUAGGGUAGGGUCACAGACCUGAUCUAAGUACCCUGCCCGAGGACACCCUUAGAAGAGAUCACCUUCCAGUCGACCUACGAGGGACUCACUUGACUGACUUGAAGGACUCGACCACGAAAACUCACUCGACCACCAGAAGGUCAAGAGGCACUCUGCACUGCAACGGCCUGUUAUUAAGUAGACUUUAUGAUAGUAAAGACACUUUAUGUGGGGCGUUACCUGUAACGCCCCGGACUUAAUACACCUUAAACCCUUCAUUAUGUGGGCUGGCUAGGGUCCUGGCGCACUCUAUAUAAGCCACCCCCCUCCACAGGCAGAAGGGUUCGGCACCUUGUAAUCCAUAUACACAUAAUCCACUCGACCGCCUCCGGGCUCCGAGACGUAGGGCUUUUACUUCCUCCGAGAAGGGCCUGAACUCAUACAUCUCUUGUGUUUACGACCUCUCCAUAGCUAGGACCUUGCCUCUCCAUACCUACCCCCCACUCUACUGUCAGACUUAGAACCACGACAGUUGGCGCCCACCUUGGGGCAGGUGUUUUAGCGAUUUUGUGGAGAAGUUGUGAUUCUUCCGAGUACUUUCAUCAUGGUGGCUGCUGGAGUUUUGGUCGAGGGUCGAGAGAUCCGUCUCGGUGCUCUCACCUUCAUCACCGCCGAUUCCGCCUGGCUCCAGGAGGCUCCACUCGACAUCGAUGCGCUCCCCGUCCGCGGUGCGACGCAUUUUCGCGCAUGUGUUCGCGGCGUUCUGCUGCGGCAACCGUCGACCCCGUAUCGGUCGACUCCCCCGUCGGCCACCCUCCCGGUCUCCCGCCAGCGUAAGCGCUCGGGCCGGUCGAGGCUUCAGCGGUGGGUGAGGCACGCGGUGGCUCGCCAGACGGCCACCACCCAAGUUGCGGCAAUCGAGCCCGACGAAUCUCUCUACGGCCUGUUCGAUCUGUCGACUGGCUCCGUAGAGACUGCAUCCGAGUUCGAUAGCAGUGAUCCAGCGGCGGAAAUCCUGAUGGUCGAUGGGCCCCGCAGUCCCCCUGGCUUCGCCCGUGAUGGUGGGGCAGGCGACGGCGGCGACCCCGCACGAGACCACGAAGAGUACCAGCCCGAGCCACUCGACUCUCUGCAAAGAGAGGAACUUCGCCGCAGGAACGUGGAUGCCCUGCGUACUCCCAUCGCAGGAGAAACCCCCGAGGCUCGUGCCUUAGAGGAGGCGCGUUUGGCCAAUUUGGCCGAACGCACUCGACUGGAGAAUCUUCAGCGAGCACUCGACGAGCGCUCGCGGCAACGAGUUCCCGACACCAGUCGACAUCAACUCUUCCCACCGACUCAGGUAUAUCGAACCCCAGUCCAGAAUUUAGCAGCUGCGACCCGUAUUGCAGAGUCCAUCCAGCCCUCUCAGUCGGAAGCUGGCAGAGGCUUGAUGCAGAUCAGGGAUCUGCUCCGGGCAGCAGGCGAUCAAAAUUCGGCCGUAUCGCAGUCGCGCAACAGAAUUCACAGUCGAUCCGUCGCUGCGAAUACUGUUCAGUCGGCUCACAGCCCCAGAUCGCCUCCGCGGCGUGAAGGGCGCGAGAAUCGGCGAGACCAAUAUGGAGACCGACACGACCGAUAUGAUAGGCGUCGAGUGCCCAAUUCCCCUCUGAGGGGUGGGUCUUACGCUCCUCGGCAGCAAGAUGACAGACGUCAGCUCAGUGCGGGGCGAAGAGUUCCAGUCGACCCUAGAGAACCAGGCUUCGAUGCGCGAUCCAUUAUCGUGCAAGGCUUGGUCGACCGGAACAGAGCCCAUCGAGGUGGACUCGACAGAGAUGCUCCCACGAGCAGUCGAGUGCAUGUUUCUGGUCCUGAAUGUUUCAGCAGAGCUAUCAGAGCCGCAGUGAUCCCUCCCAAUUUCAGGUUGGCAACAGGAGUCAGCAAGUUCACUGGUGAGUCUAAGCCUAAAACUUGGCUUGAGGACUACCGAGUGGCGGUUCAGAUUGGUGGUGGGAACGACGAAGUGCGAUGAAGCAUUUGCCCCUCAUGCCGGAAGGUUCUGCCAGGGCAUGGUUGACUCAAUUACCUCCUAGCAGCAUUUACACUUGGGAAGAUCUGUCCCGAGUGUUCAUCAGAAUGUUUGAAGGAACUUGCAAGCGACCGGCUGGACUGACGGAGCUGCAAGUCUGCGUGCAGAAGACCAAUGAGACCCUCAGGGAGUAUAUUCAGAGAUGGAUCACUUUGCACCAUACUGUGGAGAAUGUGUCUGAUCAUCAGGCAGUCUGCGCCUUUAAGGAUGGUGUCAAGAACAGAGAAUUGAGUUUGAAAUUUGGUCGAACCGGUGACAUGACCUUGAGUCGGAUGAUGGAGAUUGCUACCAAGUAUGCCAAUGGCGAAGAAGAAGACCGACUCCGAAGCGGCAAGCACAAUCCGAGUCAGUCGGAAAAGGGAAACACCAGUCGGAAACAGAAGUGGAAGGCUGAACCGGCAGCUCCUGGGGAGGCUCUGGCCGUGACUCAGGGAAAGUUUAAAGGGAAACCAAGAGGAUCCUGGAACCCUAAGAAGGUAAAGGAUAAAGAAGGGAAUGACGUGAUGGAUAUGCCGUGUCACAUCCACACGAAGAAAGACGAAGAGGGGAAUAUCAUCUACCCGAAGCAUACCACUCGCCAAUGUCGACUCCUGAUCCAGCAGUUUCAGGGAAAACAGUCUAAAGACAAGGAGAAGGAGUCGGACAAGGCCGAAGACAAGGAGGACAGUGAGGAAGGAUAUCCGCAUAUUAACUCCACUCUGAUGAUCUUUGCAGAUGUGGAAAGCAAGAGUCGAUUGAAAGUUAUUAACCGUGAGGUGAACAUGGUUGCCCCAGCAAAAGCAAAUUAUCUGAGAUGGUCCCAAACACCCAUCACAUUCGACCAAUCUGAUCACCCGACUCAUAUUGCCACCCCUGGGAGGCAAGCUUUGGUGGUCGAUCCAGUUGUCGAAGGCACUCGACUGACAAAAGUGCUGAUGGACGGUGGUAGUGGGCUGAAUUUGUUGUAUGCAGACACACUGAAAGGAAUGGGCAUUCCGAUGUCUCGACUGAGCACCAGUAACAUGAGCUUUCAUGGAGUUAUACCAGGGAAGAAAGCCGAGUCACUCGGCCAAAUAGCUCUGGACGUGGUGUUUGGUGAUUCGAAACAUUUUCGCAAAGAGAAGUUGACGUUUGAGGUCGUGGAUUUUCAGAGUGCAUAUCAUGCCAUUUUGGGGAGACCAGCUUAUGCACGGUUCAUGGCUCGACCAUGUUACGUGUACCUCAAAUUGAAGAUGCCCGGCCCCAAAGGAGUGAUCACUGUCACCGGUGAUCGGAAAAAGGCAGAAGAGUGCUUUCAGAAGGGCUCAAAGAAUGCCGAUUCCCAGGUGACAGCGGUCGAGUUUGAAGAAUACAAGCAAAACGCAGAUCCGAGUGACUUGCUACGAUCCAAGAAACCCGCCACAGAAUCUGCAUUUCAGUCGUCCGGUGAGACGAAGCCUAUUCACAUUCACCCGACCGACCCCGAUGCAGCUCCGACCCACAUCUCCACGACACUCGACCCGAAAUAGGAAGAAGCGCUCAUCCAGUUCCUCCGUGAGAACUGGGACAUUUUUGCAUGGAAGCCCGCUGACAUGCCAGGUGUUCCCAGGGGACUGGCCGAGCAUCGCCUAAGAGUCGACUCAUCUGCAAAACCAGUCAAAGAGCAUCUUCGGCGGUCCGCCGUCUAGAAGAGAAAAGCCAUUGGUGAGGAAGUGGCUCGACUGUUGGCGGCAGGAUUUAUCCGAGAGAUAUACCACUCCGAGUGGCUCGCUAAUGUCGUCAUGGUUCCUAAGAAGGACAAAUCACUCCGAAUGUGCAUUGAUUUCAAGCACAUCAACCGGGCCUGCCCGAAAGAUCAUUUUCCUCUCCCUCGCAUAGAUCAAAUUGUUGCCUCGACCGCGGGAUGCGAGAGAUUGUCUUUUCUAGACGCCUACUCCGGGUACCACCUGAUCCGUCUGUACGGACCCGACGAGGUAAAAACAGCUUUCAUCACUCCAUUCGGGUGCUUCUGCUAUAUCACCAUGCCAUUCGGCCUCAAGAAUGCCGGAGCCACAUUUAUGCGAAUGAUUCAGAAGUGUCUACUCACUCAAAUCAGUCGGAAUGUGGAAGCGUAUAUGGAUGAUAUCAUCGUCAAGUCACGAAAAGGUUCCGACCUGCUCGCUGACCUCGCCGAAACAUUUGCCAACCUCAGAAGGUAUGAUAUCAAGCUCAAUCCAUCAAAGUGCACAUUCGGAGUUCCUGGUGGCAAGUUACUCGGUUUUCUCGUUUCCGAGCGAGGGAUCGACGCUAAUCCAGAGAAGAUCGGUACUAUUCUCCGAAUGAAACGCCCUGUGCGAGUGCACGAUGUCCAGAAGCUUACUGGAUGCUUGGCCGCAUUAAGUCGAUUCAUCUCACGACUCGGUGAAAAGGCAUUGCCUCUUUACCGACUGAUGAAGAAGGCAGACAAGUUCGAGUGGACUCCAGAAGCUGAUGCAGCGUUUGCCGAGCUAAAAGCUCUGCUCUCCACCCAGCCGGUGCUUGCUGCUCCAAUCAGCAAAGAGCCUUUGUUGCUUUAUAUCGCAGCCACAGGACAAGUCGUCAGUACUGUGCUUACGGUCGAGCGGGAAGAAGAAGGAAAAGCUUUCAAAGUUCAGCGCCCAGUGUAUUAUUUGUCUGAAGUCUUGACUCCAUCCAAGCAAAGAUAUCCUCAUUAUCAGAAGCUUGUGUAUGGAAUAUACAUGACCACAAAGAAGGUUGCUCAUUAUUUCUCUGAUCAUUCCAUCACAGUCGUCAGCGACACUCCACUAUCAGAGAUCUUGCACAACAGAGAUGCAACUGGUCGAGUGGCUAAAUGGGCGAUUGAACUUCUUCCCCUUGAUAUCAAGUUUGAGGCAAAGAAAGCCAUUAAGUCCCAGGCAAUAGCAGAUUUCCUUGCCGAGUGGAUGGAACAGCAGCAGCCGACUGAAGUUCACUCGGAGCAUUGGACCAUGUUCUUUGAUGGCUCUAAGAUGUUGAAUGGUUCCGGUGCUGGGGUUGUCCUGGUUUCCCCCAGAGGAGAUAAGCUCAGAUAUGUGCUCCAGAUUCACUUUGAUUCCUCCAACAAUGAGGCAGAAUAUGAGGCCCUCUUAUACGGAUUGCGCAUGGCCAUUUCACUCGGCGUCCGUCGCCUGAUGGUCUAUGGCGACUCGGAUUUAGUGGUCAACCAAGUGAUGAAGGAGUGGGACGUGAGAAGCCCAGCCAUGACUAGAUACUGCAGUGCAGUGAGGAAGCUGGAAAAGAAGUUCGAGGGGUUGGAGCUCCAUCAUAUACCCGGACUGAAAAAUCAAGCAGCUGAUGAUCUAGCAAAGAUAGGUUCCAAGAGAGAAGCCAUUCCGAGUGGUGUGUUCUUGGAGCAUAUACACACUCCGCCAGUCAAAGAAGAUCCUUUCACCGAAGAAGCUCCACAGCCCAAGAGUGCCACAGAUCCGACUGAGGUUGAAGUUCCAGCAGUGGUCGACUUGGUCAUGGAGGUCUUGGUGGUCAUUCCCGACUGGACAGUUCCAUAUAUCGCGUAUAUCCUGAGAAAAGAGCUCCCGGAGGAUGAGGAAGAGGCUCGACAGAUUGUCCGUCGAUCUAAAGCUUUUACCGUAAUCAAAGGACAGUUAUACAGAGAAAGCGUGACUGGAGUUGGUCAGAAGUGUAUAACACCAGAAGAAGGUCGAAUCAUCCUUAAUGAUAUCCACUCGGGAACCUGUGGUUAUCAUGCGUCCUCUCGGACCAUCAUGGCCAAAGCAUACCGAGCCGGAUUUUACUGGCCAAAGGCGAAUGAGAUGGCAAAGGAAAUAGUGGAUAAGUGCGAAGGAUGUCAGUUCUACUCGAAUAUGUCACACAAGCCUGCAUCAGCUCUGAAGACCAUUCCACUCGUCUGGCCUUUCGCAGUAUCGGGGUUGGACAUGGUCGGUCCUUUGAGAACAGGUCGAAGUGGCUUCACGCAUGUACUGGUGGCAGUCGACAAGUUCACCAAGUGGAUUGAGGCUAAACCAAUCAAGAACCUUGACGCCGGUGCUGCUGUUAGCUUCAUCAGGGAACUGAUAUUCAGAUAUGGAGUCCCGCACAGCAUCAUUACGGAUAAUGGGUCGAACUUUGACUCGGAGGAAUUCAGAGAUUUCUGUAACUCUCAAGGCACACGAGUCGACUACGCUUCAGUCACCCAUCCGCAGUCGAAUGGACAAGCAGAGCGAGCCAAUGGCCUGAUUCUCAAGGGAUUGAAACCCCGACUGAUGCGUGAUCUCAAGCAUGCAGCUGGAGCUUGGGUCGACGAACUUCCCUCGGUGCUUUGGGGACUGCGAACCACACCUAAUCGGUCGACCGGAAGAACUCCAUUCUUCUUGGCCUAUAGAGCUGAAGCAGUCUUGUCGAGUGAUCUUCUCCACAAUGCUCCUCGAGUUGAAAUCUACAACGAAGCAGAAGCUGAACAAGCGUGGCAGGACGCAGUCGACCUUUUAGAGGAAGAAAGGGAGAUGGCUCUGAUCCAGUCGACCAUCUACCAACAAGAUUUGCGUCGUUUCCACGCCAGAAAUGUGAGGGGUCGAGCCUUCCAGGAAGGAGAUUUAGUUCUCUGAGUGGAUCAGAAGAAACAACACAAGCUUGCUCCUUCUUGGGAAGGACCCUUCAUCGUCACCAAAGUUCUCCACAACGGGGCGUACCGUCUUUACAACAUCGAACAUAAUAUCGACGAGCCCCGAGCUUGGAAUGCGGAACUACUCCGCCCAUUUUACACUUAAGUUUAAUCACUCGGAUGAGUUGCAAUAAAGUACUUCUGUAGUUCAUGGAUCUCAAAAUAAUAGUGUCAUAGUUCCUCCAUAAUUUUUGUCACUUUUUAUUUUGUCCAAUAAAAUUUUCCCCUCAGUGGGUGACUUAGCCGCGAAUCCGUUUCGCCUAAGUUUGUAAAAAUCCUACCGAGUGGUGAGCCAGACUCCCACUUAGAGGCUUAGUUGCGAAUCCGUUUCGCCUAAGAUUAAAUAAAAUCCUACCGAGUGGUAAGCCAGACUUCCACUCGGAGGCUUAGCUGCGAAUCCGUUUCACCUAAGAUUAAAUAAAAUCCUACUGAGUGGUAAGCCAGACUUCCACUCGGAGGCUUAGCUGCAGUCCAAGUACUCGCCUAAGAUAUAAAAAUCCUACCGAGUGAAGAGCAAACCUCUCACUCGGAGGCUUAGCUGCAGUCCCAGUACUCGCCUAAGUUAUGAAAAUCCUACCGAGUGAAGAGCAGACCUCUCACUCGGGGGCUUAGCUGCAGCCCAGUGCUCGCCUAAGAUAUAGAAAUCCUACCGAGUGAAGAGCGAACCUCUCACUCGGAGGCUUAGCUGCAGCCCAGUGCUCGCCUAAGAUAUAAAAAUCCUACCGAGUGAAGAGCAAACCUCUCACUCGGGGGCUUAGCUGCAGCCCAGUGCUCGCCUAAGAUAUGAAAAUCCUACCGAGUGAAGAGCAGACCUCUCACUCGGGGGCUUAGCUGCAGUCCAAGUGCUCGCCUAAGAUAUAAAAAUCCUACCGAGUGAAGAGCAAACCUCUCACUCGGGGGCUUAGCUGCAGCCCAGUGCUCGCCUAAGAUAUAGAAAUCCUACCGAGUGAAGAGCAAACCUCUCACUCGGGGGCUUAGCUGCAGUCCAAGUACUCGCCUAAGUUAUGAAAAUCAUACCGAGUGAAGAGCAAACCUCUCACUCGAGGGCUUAGCUGCAGCCCAGUGCUCGCCUAAGUGGAUUAAGGAAUAAGUCGACUGCAGUGAGCAUCUUGCUUUGAGCCUGCAAAAGACAUUUCGAGCCAAAAGUAAUCAUAUUCAAACACCAAGUUCAAGUUGGGAUCGAUUCCAAAGGAACCGAAAGUGCUCAGGCACUAAGCCUGUUAAAGUUUAUCGGUUACAACUCCACUCGGCAUACCGAGGCAAAUUUAAAGCGUCAAGCUUAGAAGAAGUUUUUUACCCCUCCCGUGGAGGGCUGGAAGGUGCAACAAACUCAUCAAGAUCAAUUCCAUCUACGAUCUGACUAGCAGCAGCAAGGAAAGUUUCCAUAAAGGACCUGAAGUCGUGUUUCUUGGUGUUGGCCACCCGGAGGGCCGCCAGCUUGUCUUCUCGCGCAUCUUUGCAGUGGACUCGGGCCAGACACAGAGCAACAUCUACACCGCACCGAUCCGAGGACUUUUUCCACUCCUGCACUCGACCAGGGACUGUGUUCAAGCGAGCCAUCAGCGACUCGAGGUCGUUCUGGAGUGUCUCCCUAGGCCAGAGCGUCGAGUCGAUGCGAGAUGUGGCGACCUUCAGCCUUGCAUGAUAGUCCACGACAGCUGCAACACGGGACUCCAGUCGGAAAACAUUCAUGGCAACUUCGUCGUUCACCGGAGAAUUGACGGGGUCAAGGUUUGGUUCCAGCCGGCUAGUUUCUUCUUCAAAGUUUCGGCAAAAUUCUGCAAGGACGAUCACCGAGUCAAGGCAAUGGUCGAAUGGAAAAACCACGGUUGGAAAUGAUUGCCGAGCAUAGAGAUUUACCUUCAAGCAUAAGAAACAACUUCUUGGCAAGACCAUUCAGGAAGGCCUCCAGAUCUUUUUUCUUCCCAAGAGCAGCUUUCAGAUUGGUAUUUUCUUGCUCAAGCUUUGCGACUGAAGCUAACUUCUCGUCAACAAGCUUGAUCUUCUCAGCUAGUUCAAGGUCUUUCUUCCGUUGGGCCUCCCUCACCUUACCUGCAAGUUACAGCAAGAUCAGAUUUUGAAACAAAUGAAGGGAAAAAGCAGUCGUCAAGGUCUCACCAAACAUACCUUCGGUCUCCUCCUUUGCCUUCGUCAGAUUCUCCUGAACCAGUUUCAAAUUCAGCUUGAGCUGAAUGUGCUUGUUUUCCAACUCAGAGUAGCGAGCCACAAGAUCACAGGAGUUCUGUGAAGAACCAGUCGACUAAAUGUCAAAUAUAAUUCACUUCCGAGUGAAAAAGGAAAAAUCACGCGUUUCUAAGACUACAGCCGAAUACAAGCAUUCGACCGUAGUCUCGGGGACUACACCCAGUGGGUGCACUCAGCGUGCCUCCACUAAUCCUAUUGAAGAUAAAGUCGACCAGUCGACCUCAAAAAAGAGAUAUAUUCUUUAAGACUGUAAUCGAUUGCCAGCAGUCGACCACAGUCUCGGGGACUACACCCAGUGGGUGCACUCAGCGUGCCCCCACCGGUUUGCGAAAUCCAUUCGACAUAGUCGAAUGACGGAAAUACUAAACUUAUGAAGCCUAAGACCGACUGCCAGCAGUCGACCUUAGCCCUGGAGACAGAGUCGACCAGUCGACCGGUUUACGAAAUCCAGUCGCCAUAGUCGAAUGACGGAAAGACUGAAAUUAUAAAGCCUAAGGCCGACUGCCAACAGUCGACCUUAGCCUUGGGGACUACACCCAGCGGGUGCACUCAGCGUGCUCCCGCUAACACGGAGUUUAACUCGACACACCCACUGGGUGACUACUAUAAAUUCUGGAAAGAAAAGUUUUUGAUAGCAUAUCCUAACAGAACAAACGGUGGUCGACUGACCUGAACAUUGCUUUGGAGGGCGGAACUGGCGUCGUAAGCUGCCUGGCUCGCAUCCCGGAUGGUCUUCAACUGCUCCAUCAUGAUCCCUACCUGGCGUAUCGCCUCCUUCACUGCGCCAGCUUGGUCCUCUGGGACGUGGUGCGUCGUGAAGAGGGAGGGCUGCGGAGCACUCGUCAGUGGAUCUGCGAAGGACACGGUGUGUCGAGUGGUGUUCUCCUCCUCCGCGACCAGAGUCUCAGGCACCGUCACAUCCUGGGUCACCCUGCUGGCAGACGCUUUCCUACUCCUUCUGUACUUCAGCGGUUCCUCAUCUUCAUCAUCAUCAGGGAGAGUGAUAACAACAUUGGAUGGAGCUACAGAAAAGAAUCAGGAUUAGAUCAUGAGUCAGUCGACUAAAGACGGUGUUAAGAGUAUAGUUCCAGGUUUUGAGGUUGCUACGUCCUCCAUCUCAUGGUCGUCAGCCCGGGCCGAGGUCUCAGAAGUAGCAGCGCUGCAACUCCAAAGAGUCAGUCGACUAACUCCAGCGCCAACCAGAGAUAAAGUUCACACAAAACAAGAAGACUUAAGCAACACGAUUACCCUGAUAUGGUGGGGAUGGACACCUUCAUCUUCGGCAGGUGCUUGGUCGGCUUCGACGGGGCCGCCCUGGGCUGCUUCGACGCCUUUUCAGUCGGCGCCGGAGGGGUGGUCCGAGGGUGCUUGGUCGACUGUGUAACAGUCGCAAACCCCUCGCCGCGUUCGGUCUUAGGGUCAUGGACAAGUUUCGACCGCCUUUCCGAGCGCGGUGGUGCGACCUCCUCCUCCUCCUCCUCUUCCUCGUCCUCAUCAUCAUCAUCAUCAUCAUCAGCCUCAGCAGCGUCCGAGUCCCACUCCUCCUCCUGGCUCUCGCCCCCGCUCGCUUCUCCCUCCUCGGUCGGAGCCUGUGCUCCAUUGGGCAUCGAGUACAGCUCAGUGAGGGCCUGAAAGACAUCAAGACAAAGAUCAGUCGACCGAUCAGCAGAGAAAACAGAAAUAAAUGUGACGAGAAUACAAUGGGAAGUGGAGCAGACAUACCUUGUUUGGAUCACUAUGGCAGUCGAGUGGAGGAAUCCUUCUGGCUCCGCGUGGGUUAUCUUUGUUCCCAGUAACAGCGGCCAUCCACCUUUCCAGAGUGGUAUCGUCGACUGUUUCUGGAUUGACCCGAGUCACAUCCUCAGUCCCGCAGUACAACCACAUGCAAUGGCUCCGGAACUGAAGAGGCUGGAUUCGACGCCUAAGGAAAACCUCCAGGAGAUCCAUACCCGUCACCCCCUCCCGAACCAACUGAACUACGCGCUCCAUCAGCAUCUUCACGUCAGCUUUCUCCUCCGGAAUCAACUACAGAGAGGAGGGCUUGUUCACUCGGUCCAUGUUAAAUUGAGGGAGUCCACUCGACUGCCCCGGCGUCGACUGAUCCUGGCAGUAGAACCAGGUCGACUGCCAGCCUCUGACUGACUCGGGAAAUGUCAUGGCUGGGAAGGUGCUCUUGUUCCUCACCUGGAUCCCCAGACCUCCACACAUUUGGACAACUCGGGUUCUUUCGUCGCCUGGGCUCGCCUUCUUCACGGUUUGAGAGCGACACGUGAAUAUGUGCUUGAACAAGCCCCAAUGCGUUCGACAGCCCAGAAAACUCUCACACAUGGACACAAACGCGGCAAGAUAGGCGAUAGAAUUCGGGGUGAAGGGGUGGAUUUGCGCUCCGAAGAAGUUCAAGAAACCACGGAAGAAAAUGCUCGGCGGCAAAGAGAAUCCGCGGUCGACAUGGGUAGCCAGAAGCACGCACUCACCCUCUUCCGGCUGAGGCUGCCACUCUUUCGCCGGAAGCCUCGCAGCUCCAUGAGGGAUCAGGCCCUCAUUGGCCAUGUCGAGGAGAUCCUUCUCCGUGAUGGUCGACUGGAUCCAAUCUCCCUGGACCCAGCCUUUCGGCAGGCGAGAUCUAGACGAAGACCCGCGGCGGCUGGUGGAUCUCCCCUUCGCCUUCUCCGUCGCCGACGCCUUCUUCGCGCGCUCCAGCGCUGCCGUCUUCUCCUUGACCAUGGCUACCGGCGAGGCGCGUGAGGAGAAGUUGUGCGGAGGCGAGAGCGUGCGCGUUGGGCGGAGACGAAGGGAGCAGAGAGAGAAUGCUAAGGCACUGUUCAAAAAACCCUCGCCGGGCGCAUUUAUAAGAUCCCUUCCGAGUGGAUGACAGGUGGGCCCGGUCGAUCCAAUCAUAUCCUAUAACAGUUGCGCAAGCGUGAUACGUGGCGAAAAAAGCGGCGCGGGAAUCGAGGCGUCUAUGCCCCGUCCCAUCCGAGCGCCGCGGUCCGCUCCGCUUCGCGCGCUCCCCCAAAUUCCAUAUCCCGUGGAAUCCGCAGACGGCAGAUCAGUCUGCCAGACGCAGGAUUUCCUGUGAUCCGUCGCUCGGAAAUCAGCGAAGUCCAAAAAGAUCACUCGACGAAGAAGAAGAAUGGAUCGAGUCGACUGAAGAAAAGUUGCUCACUAUCAACAGAGAGAAUUGUUUGGUUCAAAAACAACGCACAACCAGUAUGCAAAAGCUAAUCGGAAACAACAUCAACUCCUUCAUCACUCAAGCCUCAAUCCAUUCGGGGGCUAAUGAUGGAGUCACGUUCCUAGGGUAGGGUCACAGACCUGAUCUAAGUACCCUGCCCGAGGACACCCUUAGAAGAGAUCACCUUCCAGUCGACCUACGAGGGACUCACUCGACUGACUUGAAGGACUCGACCACGAAGACUCACUCGACCACCAGAAGGUCAAGAGGCACUCUGCACUGCAAUGGCCUGUAAUUAAGUAGACUUUAUGAUAGUAAAGACAGUUUAUGUGGGGCGUUACCUGUAAUGCCCCAGACUUAAUACACCUUAAACCCUUCAUUAUGUGGGCUGGCUGGGGUCCUGGCACACUCUAUAUAAGCCACCCCCCUCCACAGGCAGAAGGGUUCGGCACCUUGUAAUCCAUAUACACAUAAUCCACUCGACCGCCUCCGGGCUCCGAGACGUAGGGCUUUUACUUCCUCCGAGAAGGGCCUGAACUCGUACAUCUCUUGUGUUUACGACCUCUCCAUAGCUAGGACCUUGCCUCUCCAUACCUACCCCCCACUCUACUGUCAGACUUAGAACCACGACAGCGGGGUCUCUGUUCUUUUUUACAUCAUGCGUGGUUACAUGGAGUGGUUCUAUUUUAAAGCGGCCUCCGGUUUACCCCUUGAAAUUUGUUUUUCAAAAAAGCUUUGUGAUAUCACUUGGGGCCUUGGUCGUGUCCGAACCAAUGCGACACCUUUUGAAAGGCGAAAGCCACCAGAUCACUUGGGGACAUGGUCAAGUCUGAACCAGUCACGCCUCUUGAUCGGCCUAAGGCCACAGAAUCACUUGGGGGCUUGGUCGAACCCGAACCAUUGCCACGCCUUUUGAUCGGCAUAAAUGCCACGGUUUCAUUUGGGGACCUGGCUGACUUGAACCAUUGUCACUCCUAUUGGGGGCUUGGUCCUGUCCGACCGUGGUAACACCAUCUGAUCAGCUCAGUAAAGCAUGUUUUUGCAAACGGUUUUUAUUAGUGCCUUUGCUUCCAUAUUUUUUCAUAACUGUUAUUUGAUUUUGGUCGCGUUUUUUAAACCAACAUUGUUAAUCCGGUUCAAACUAUCAAUUACAAAUUGGCGGAACACGGUUAAAUCCUAAUCCGGAGACUAUCUGCCCGGUUUGAUUUUAUGUUACCAUCUUAUUAUGGAGUAAACCGGCGUUCAUUAACCCGGCUUGACUUUCAAUUACAAGUUGUCAAUACAGGAUCAAGUUAUAAUCCGGAGACUAUCAGCCCGGUCUGGUUUGACUACGAGUCGCCAGUAUUAUAUAUGGUUAAACCGGUGUUUAUCACAACCCGGUACGGUUUAUCAUCAACCGGCACAGUAUGAAAGGAAUUAUCAUUACUCAAGAUUGGGGUUAUCACUCUUACUACAAAAAGUUGGUAAAACCAGCAAUGUGAUUCAAUAUCACAGGUAUGAUAUAUUUCAUAUUUGGUUAUUCUUAAAUGCAACCUUGGUUAUAAACCCAGGUUAUAUGUUGGGCAUUAUGACCCAUCCGGCGGUAAACCGCUAGGACACUUUAAACUUGUUGUAUGCAGAAACAGGUUGAAUAAAGCAUGAUUAUAAAUUAUCCGGUGUUUAUUAAACCGGCCUGGCUUUAAGACGAUAAGUCGCCAGUAUAUGAUGGGAAAUUAUCCGGUGUUUAUUAAACCGGCCUGGCUUUGGACUAUACGUCGCCAGUAUAUAUUUGGAUUGCGCCAUUGGAAUCAUGCGCUUAUAAAUGAUUGGGUUAUAUUAUUCAAAUAGCCAAAUUUGGCUGAAUUUUCAUUAUGAUAUUGGAUGAAUUUUUCAUACCGGAUUAUAUUAUCUUGAAUAGCCAACAUGGCUGGAUUUCUAUGGUUAUUAAUAACCGGUAUUAUUGAGUUUUCAAAGUCGCUUUAGUGCAACAGUUAUUAUUUUAUCAAAGGAUAUGAUUUAUUCUACAAUGGAAGGAAUAGUCCCGAGUCGCUGCAGGCUCACGACCCGACACUUGGGGGCUAUAUUAUUCAAAUUGAGAUUACAUGCAAGUCCCAUGUCACUGCCAGCAUGCACCAUGGUACUUUGGGGCUAAUGCAAACUCAUUUUUACUGGCUUAUUGAAGACCCAACUCAUCACAUUGUAAUGAGCCGGCCCUUGGGGGCUACCAAUUGCUUCUGUCAACAGUUGAAGAUACAAAGCUUUUUAUUCAUUAUAUUGAAGGGCCCGUCUGCUCAGUUGGUAAAGCACAAGGCUCUUAACCUUGUGGACGUGGAUUCAAGUUCCAUGAUGGGGGCUACACAUCAUUGCUCAACUCUACAUGAUUAUACCUACAAAGUCCCUGCUCAUUAUUGCAUAAUGACCCGACCCUUGGGGGUUACACUGGUUGAAGUUUUUAUGAGUAUAAGACAAAGUCCCAGGUUGCUGCAAGCAUGACAACCCGGCACUUGGGGGCUAUAUAGUAUGGAGUAUUCAGUUUUUACUAGUCACUGGGAUGAACAACAUGGAUUUCUUUGAAAGUGGCAGUAUUUAUACCGAAGCAAAGUCUUAAGCCACCACUUUGUUCUGCUCAAAGACUUGGGGGCUACAGCGUUGGCAACAAUCAUGAACCGGUGUCUGCAACAAUCAUGACUCGGAAUUAUCAGUUUUAUAACCCGACAAUGGUGGUAAUCAUAAACCGGCAAGUUUUACAUCUUCAAGCCGGCUGGAUAUCAGUUGAAUAUUUCAGAGACUAAUAUUUUUGUCAAGUCAGAGCAUUGAAGGCCAAUUCAAAUGGAUUCUUUAUUUACAAUAUUUUUUCUGCGAGCAAAUUGAUUAUGAAGCUGGUCUAUUGACUUGGAUUUUCUAGAAGGAGGAAAUGACAAGGAUUUAAGGAUGAUCAGGUGUCGGUCUACAAGAAUUCUUAACCCAGAGCACAACCCGCCAAACUUGUUCUUGUAUUUAUGUUGCAGAUCAGUUUAACAUGGACAAAUCCAAAUUAAACUGGGGGCUAAUGUCGGGGAUAUACCCCGCGGCGUAAACCGUCCGGAAGUAUAACCCGGCCGGACUUGGCAGUUUACUGAGAUCCGGCUGGCACUUGGCGAUUCACUGGCGACCCGCCCUGACCUGGCGGUUUACAAGCAACCCACCUGGUCAUUAUGACUCACUGGUGACCCGGCGGGCGGGUCAGAGGAGCGACAAGACCCCGUGGCCCGUCUGGCGGUUCAUGAAGGCCGGUUCAACUAUUGUGGGCCGGUUUAAGAGGAAAGGCAUAAUGAAUAUUUGUCUUACAAGGAGUUAAGACCUGGACUUGUAUCCGGUUUGUAUUAGAGAUAGACUAGUCCUAAUCCUAAUAGGACUCCACAUGUAACCCGCCCCUUCAACAUAUAUAAGGAGGGGCAGGGCUCCCCAAAGAGCGACAAGCUACAAGCAAGAAGAAAUAAUCUUAGGGCUAGACACAAAGAGGAGAGCCGGUUUACGGCGACUCCCUCGUGAUGAUAAUGAGACCUAGCCUCAAACAGCAUGUAGGGUUUUUACCGGAUGAUGUUUCCCGGGGCCCGAAGCUGUCUAAAUCCCUGUCUUGUGUUGCGUCUCUCGAUUCCGCUCAACCCCUCUCAAGCUACCACAUAGAUGCGUUGGCCUCACGACUAAGUCCUAACACUAAGGACAUCUGACGUGUUAAUUCCACGACAACUCUGGUUAGGUCAAAUCCAUCGAGGAUUGGGUCUAAGACCAGUGCGGCGAAUCCGCCGUGGCGGAUGCUGGUGGGGUGGUCCCUUCGGUCAAAAGUGAUCGGGCAGGAGGACCAUGGAUUGAACUUCGGGGCAACUGGCUCCAUCGCGUAGACAUCCCUGAGUGCACGCUUCCGCUCCCUUUUGGGUAUGUGCAUUGCGUAUAUCAUGUUCACCGUCCGCACCUGUGGGGGGAAACCCUUCUGUCCUCUAUUGUUUGGCGGUUGGGUCUCAUCCUCGUCAUCGCUAUGUAGCCCCUUGUCAUUGUUUUUGGCAAUUAACUUGCCUGCCUGCUUGAAUACCCAACAGUCCCUGUUGGUGUGGUUAGCUGGCUUUUCGGGGGUGCCGUGUAUCUGGCACAAGCGGUCGAGUAUUCGGUCCAAAUUGGACGGACCCGGAGUAGUUCUUUUGAAUGGCUUUUUCCGCUGACCGGGUUUAGAGCCUCUGAAUUCGGCAUUGACUGUUGUAUCCUCAAUAUGAUCGCCGUUAAUGCGGCAUUUGUUUUUGUUGCAACGCGGCCUGCCAUUUUGGUCCUUGAAGUCCGGACUGCCAGAAUUCUUGCUGAGGUUAUUGCUGCAUGCUAGCCAGCUGUCCUCACCCGCGCAGAAGCGGGUCAUGAGUGAUAUGAGGGCUGCCAUGGAUUUCGGCUUUUCCUGUCCCAGGUGCCGGGCAAGCCACUCGCCGCGGAUGUUAUGCUUGAAGGCCGCGAGUGCCUCCGCAUUCGGACAGUCGACGAUUUGGUUUUUCUUGGUUAGGAACCGUGUCCAGAAUUGUCUGGCCGAUUCGUCUGGCUGCUGAAUUAUGUGGCUUAGGUCAUCAGCGUCUGGUGGUCGCACAUAAGUGCCCUGGAAGUUAUCGAGGAAUGCGGCUUCCAGAUCCUCCCAACUCCCAAUUGACUCUGCUGGCAAGCUGUUGAGCCAAUGCCGGGCUGGUCCUUUAAGCUUGAGGGUGAGGUAUUUGAUGGUGUGAAGAUCGUCACCGCGGGCCAUGUGGAUGUGAAGGAGAUAGUCUUCAAUCCAAACCACGGGGUCUGUUGUGCCAUCGUAGGAUUCAAUAUUGACGGGUUUAAACCCUUCGGGGAUUUGAUGAUCCAUUACUUCAUCUGUGAAGCAUAGUGGGUGUGCGGCGCCUCUGUACUGGGCGAUAGCACGACGGAGCUCAAGGGAGCUUGGUCUAUUUUGUUCAGCCCGGCCGGACUUACUAUGUCCGGCGCGACGGUUGUCGUCACGUAUCGUGGGACGCCCACGUGAUCCAUAGAUCGAUCUUGAUUGUCUUGCCUUAUCCUCCAAUAUAUCUCGCAAGUCCGGAGUGUUCCCCUGUGGCCGUGUGCUUUUCGAGCGAUGCCGGGGUAUGGGUCUAGUGAAGGGCCUAGAGGCCUCUCUGUCGCGACCACGGGGUGGUCGGUCAGCCGUAUUGUCUCCUGGUGAUGCGGGUUCGUAAGCCUCCUCCUCUAAUCGGGGGAGCAUCUUGCGUUUAGGGUAGCUUUUGGAGGGGCGUUCGAGCUCAUGCUCUUCGGCCGCGAGGACUUCAGUCCAUCAAUCGGCUAGCAGAUCCUGAUCAGCUCUAAGCUGUUGCUGCUUUUUCUUGAGGCUGUUCGCCAUGGCCAUAAGCCUGCAUUUAAAAUGCUCUUGUUCGACGGGAUCCUCGGGCACGACGAAUUCGUCAUCGUCGAGGCUCGCUUCGUCUCCGGAGGGAGGUGUAUAAUCCUCUGCAUCUUCUUCUGUCGCCCCUUCAUAAGGGCUGGCGUCUCCGUCCUCCUGCGCUGCAUCUUGCUGGAGUGGGUUGUCUUUGGCACUGUCCGGUGUAUUAUUGUCUCCGGUGCCGGAGUCUUCAUUCUUACCGUGGCGGGAUUUAGAGCGGCGCCGCUGACGCCGGCGCUUGGGCUGCUUUUUGGAGGGGUCAUCCUCCUCUGUUCCUUCGCCAUUCCCAUCUUUUGGGAUAUCCACCAUGUAUAUGUCAUAUGAUGAGGUGGCUGUCCAGUGCCCAGUGGGCGCUGGUUCUUGGUCGUCUCAGGCGUCGUCGUCCAUACCGUCGAUGUCCUCGGAGUCGUAGUCUAGCAUGUCAGUUAAAUCAUCGACAGCGGCUACCAAGUGGGUGGUGGGUGGGCUUUGAAUUUCUUCGUUGUCCGCAUCCCAACCGUCCUGACCGCAAUCCGGCCAGGGCUCUCCUGAUAACGAGAGAUAUUUUAGCGAACUCAAGAUGUCGCCGAAAGGUGAGUGUUGAAAGACGUCCGCUGCAGUGAACUCCAUGAUCCGCGCCCAAUCGGAUUUGAUCAGGGCGGGCGCGGUAGGUUCGGAGUCCGGCGAGGAGUCCGACACCGUGGAGUCACGAGCUUUAUGAGGGACAAAGUCAGUGUUCGGCUCUAUCGCCGUAGAGGUUGCAGCGCCCGAGGCGAUGUCUAGCCAUCCGUCCUCGAUCUGCGCGGCCUGCUCCGAAUUGAGGAUUGGAGCAGGCUCGAGUGCGGCCUUCAGGGUACUGUCCAGCGGUAGAGCUAAAUCAUGUCUGCCGUGAUAGUGCAGCACGCUCGGAUGUGGCUCGAAUCCGUCGAAGAUCAAGUCCCCACGGAUGUCAGCCGUGAAGUUCAAACUUCCAAAUCUGACCUGACGGCCAGGGGCGUAGCUUUCGAUCUUCUCCAGUUGGCCAAGCGAAUUGGCCCACAGUGCAAAGCCGCCGAAUAUGAAGAUCUGUCCAGGGAGGAAGGUCUCCCCCUGGACCGCGUCGUUGAUGAUGAUCGAAGAAGCCAUCGAGCCUAUCGGUGCCGACACAGAGGAACUCUCAAUGAAAGCACCAAUGUCGGUGUCAAAACCGACGGAUCUCGGGUAGGGGGUCCCAAACUGUGCGUCUAGGCAGAUGGUAACAGGAGACGAGGGACACGAUGUUUUACCCAGGUUUGGGCCCUCUUGAUGGAGGUAAAUCCCUACGUCCUGCUUGAUUAAUAUUGAUGAUGUGGGUUACAAGAGUAGAUCUACCACGAGAUCAAGGAGGCUAAACCCUAGAAGCUAGCCUAUGGUAUGAUUGUUGUUCGACCUAUGGACUAGGGCCAUCCGGUUUAUAUAGACACCGGAGAGGGCUAGGGUUACACAGAGUCGGUUACAAAGGUAGGAGAUCUACAUAUCCGUAUCACCAAGCUUGCCUUCCACGCCAAGGAAAGUCCCGUCUGGACACGGGACGAAGUCUUCAAUCUUGUAUCUUCAUAGUCUUGUAGUCCGGCCGAUGAUGAUAGUUCGGCUAUCCGGACACCCCCUAGUCUGGAACUCCCUCAGCUGGGACCAACCAGCUCGAGCAGUAUUUGUGUUUUUGAGGUGUGAGCACUGCAGAGUUUUUUGAUGUUUAGCCCGGUUAAUUUUUCUCCUCUCAACAACAACGAAAACAUCGCUGCAGGUAUUAACUGGCCGGGCUGUGGCCCGUCUAGCCCAGGCCAGAUAUCCAGCCCAGAUAUUAUUUUUUUCAAGCUGAAAAUGGCUAGCCCAGCUAUACUUUUUUUUAGGAAUACCCAGGCAAGGUGAAGUUGUUAUUCUCCGCCCCGAUGGGCUGCAAAUCUUUCCUAGGAGGGAUGCGUUAGGCUUAAGAAGAAAAUGGGCUUUAAGAAAUAAUAAAUGGGAUGUAAUUAUAAAAACUAGGCAGUAACUAUAAAAAAUGCACCAAACACGUAAUUACUUUAUACAAUAUUAUUUUUGGAUAUUGAAAAUUUUAAUUUCAUUAAUUGUUGCGAGCGCAAUGUUUUGUUGGAUUUUUACGUAAUAUAAAUUUAUAUUGAAAUUGUAUUUAAUCUGACUAGAAAUUUCGGGAUAAAAAUAUUUCGGAUCCCAUCAAAAUGUGGGAAAUUUUAUUGAAUUCUGUUUUGAACGGUUGGUUGAAAUGGGUUGUACUUUUAACAACUGUAAAUGGGUUGUAGUAAAUUCCAUUAGAAUUCAAAAAUGGGCUACACAUUCUUACAAAUCUCAAAUGGGCUAUAAGUUCUCUGCCACACACUUCUGGCCUUACUAAGUUGACGUGUCCCCUAAAAAAACAGAGUUGACGCGUAUGCAAGGCUUUGUCAACUUAUAGUCAACACACGGUUCUAGCAGUAGUGGCCGUUGGAUGUCCAUCCAACGGAUGCCGUGCUUCUUCUUCAAUCUCGGAUAUUCUAGCUUCUCCCGCCCAAAAAAUGAUUCCUCCCCCUGACAUCUGGGGCGCACCGUUUCGAAAGCUGACCUGUGGGCCUACUAAGUUGACGUACCAAGGGGUUUGUCAACUUAGUCAAUAUAAACGAUUCUAGCUGCAGUGACCGUAUGAUGCCCAUCCAACGGCCAUCGUGCUUCUUCAACCUCUGGUCUUCUUGCUCCAGCCGCCCAAAGCAGCAUCGGUCGUGCCGCUUGCUCCUGCCUCCCGUGGCCGGCUGUGCUGCCGUGGAGGCCUCACCGCCCCAUACUACUCCCACCGCUGGCCAGGCCAUCCCUCCACUCACCCACACCUCCUGUUAUUCUAUGUCUACUACUUGUUGCAAUGAUCAUGAUUGGGGUGAUUCUUCUUUUGAUCUUGAAAAUUUAUUUUACCCUCAUGAUGACUAUGAGAUUGAUAAUAGUGUUUGCAAUAAUAUUGAAAGUGGGUUUGGAAGAGUGUCAACUUUAGAUCCCACAUAUUUGGAGUAUGUUCAAUCUUAUGAUAUUUUUGAUAAAAGUGGGUUUGGAGAGGUCAUGACUUUAGUUAAUGUUAAUCCCACUAUUUUGGAAGAGUGCCAACUUUGCAUACAUGUGGAUCAUGUUAAGAAUAUGUUUUGUGAUAGCUAUAUUUUUGAAUUUUCUUAUGAUCCUACAUGUAAUUAUUAUGAGAGAGGAAAAUAUGGUUGUAGAAAUUUUCAUGUUACUAAAUUACCUCUCGUUAUGUUGAGAUUGCUAAUGUUUCUUUCUUCUUCCUUGCAUAUGCUAGAUCUUGCUUGUCUUACUAAUUUGUUUUCAUAUAAAAUGCCUAUGGGUAGAAAGUAUGUUAGACUUAGAUGUGUUUGUCACGUGUUUCAUGAUGCUCUCUUUAUGCUUCAAUUCUUGUCUUUCAUGUGAGCAUCAUUGAAAUCUCAGUGCCUAGCUAAAAAGGCUAUAAAGAAAAGCGCUUGUUGGGAGACAACCCAAUAUUUUUCCUUGCAGUUAUUAAAUGAAUAAACCAUCUAUCCUACGUUUAGAUGUGGUUUUAUGUUUUAAUUAGUGUUUGUGCCAAGUAGAACCUAUAGGAUAACCUACGGUGAUAGUUAAUUUGAUCUUGCUGAAAAACAGAAACUUUUGCACGCACGAGAAUAAUUUUAAUAAAUCACAGAAACGUGGUGUUGAGUUGAUUAUUUUUUCAGUAGAUCAAUAGACAAAUUUCCCAGGACUUUCUAUUUUUUUAGGAUUUUUAGAGUUCCAAAAGUAUUCGAAAGUUACGGAUUGCUACAGACUUUUCUGUUUUUGACAGAUUCUGUUUUUCGUGUGUUGUUUGCUUAUUUUGAUGAAUCUAUGUCUAGUAUCGGGGGGUAUGAACCAUAGAUAAGUUGGAAUAUAGUAGGUUUAAUACCAAUAUAAAUAAAUAAUGAGUUCAUUACAGUACCUUAUGUGGCGGUUUUUCUUUCUUGCACUAACGGAGCUCAUGAGAUUUCCCGUUGAGUUUUGUGUUGUGAAGUUUUCAAGUUUUGGGUAAAGAUUUGAUGGAUUAUGGAAUAAAGAGUGGCAAGAUCCUAAGCUUGGGGAUGCCCAUGGCACCCCAAGAUAAUUGAAGGACAACCAAAAGCCUAAGCUUGGGGAUGCCCCUGAAAGCAUCCCCUCUUUCGUCUUCGUUUAUCGGUAACUUUACUUGGAGCUAUAUUUUUAUUCACCACAUGAUAUGUGUUUUGCUUGGUGCAUCUUGUAUGAUAUUAUUCUUUGAUUUUUAGUCUACCACAAUCAUCCUUGAUGUACGCACCUUUUGGGAGAGACACACAUGAUUCAGAAUUUAUUAGAAUACUCUAUGUGCUUCACUUGUAUCUUUUGAGCUAGACAGUUUUGCUCUAGUGCUUCACUUAUAUCUUUCUAGAGCACGGCGGUGGCUUUAUUUUGUAGAAGUUAUUGAUCUCUCAUGCUUCACUUAUAUUAUUUUGAGAGUCUUUUAGAACAGCAUGGUAUUUGCUAUGGUUAUAAAAUUGGUCCGAGAAUGAUUGGCAUCCAAGUUGGGUAUAAUAAAAACUAUCAUAGAAAGUGCAUUGAAUGUUAUGAUCAAUUUGAUGCUUGAUAAUUGUUUUGAGAUAUAAAGGUGGUAAUGUUCGAGUCAUGCUAGUUGGGUAAUUAUGAAAUUGAUAAGUACUUGUGUUGAAGUUGGCAAUUCCCGUAGCAUGCACGUAUGGUAAAAGUUGUGUAACAAAUUUGUUGCAUGGGGUGCUCUUUUGAUUGCCUUCCUUAUGUGUGGAGGUCGGGAUCGCGCCAUGGUUAACUCCUACCAACCCUUCCCCUAGGAGCAUGCGUAGUACUACUUUGCUUCGAGGGUUAAUAAACUUUUGCAAAAAGUAUAUGAGUUCUUUAUGACUAAUGUGAGUCCAUGGAUUAUACGCACUCUCACCCUUCCACCAUUGCUAGCCUCUAUUAUGCCGCACAACUUUCGCCGGUAUCAUACACCCACCAUUUACCUUCCUCAAAACAGCCACCAUACCUAUCUAUUAUGGCAUUUCCAUAGCCAUUCCGAGAUAUAUUGCCAUGCAACUUUCCAUCGUUCCGUUUAUUAUGACACGCUCCAUCAUUGUCAUAUUGCUUUUGCAUGAUCAUGUAGUUGACAUCAUAUUUGUGGCAAGGCCACCUUCAUAAUUCUUUCAUACAUGUCACUCUUGAUUCAUUGCAUAUCCCGGUACACCGCCGGAGGCAUUCACAUAGAGUCAUAUUUUGUUCUAAGUAUUGAGUUGUAAUUCUUGAGUUGUAAAUCAAUAAAAGUGUGAUGAUCUUCAUUAUUAGAGCAUUGUCCCAAAGUGAGGAAAGGAUGAUGGAGACUAUGAUUCCCCCACAAGUCGGGAUGAGACUUCAGACUUUAUAAAAAUAAAAGAGGCCAAAGAAGCCCAAAUAAAAAAAGAGGCCAAAGAAGCCCACCAAGAAAAUGAGGGAAAAGAGAGAAGGGACAAUGUUACUAUCCUUUUUCCACACUUGUUCUUCAAAGUAGCACCAUGAUCUUCAUGAUAGAGAGUCUCCUAUGUUGUCACUUUCAUAUACUAGUGGGAAUUUUUCAUUAUAGAACCUGGUUUGUAUAUUCCAAUGAUGAGAUUCCUCAAAAUGCCCUAGGUCUUCGUGAGCAAGCAAGUUGGAUGCACACCCACUUAGUUACUUUUGUUGAGCUUUCAUACAUUUAUAGCUCUAGUGCAUCCGUUGCAUGGCAAUCCCUACUCAGUCACAUUGAUAUCUAUUAAUGGGCAUCUCCAUAGCCCGUUGAUACGCCUAGAUGAUGUGAGACUAUCUUCUCCCUUUUUUGUCUUCUUCACAACCACCAUCCUAUUCCACAUAUAGUGCUAUAUCCAUGGCUUGCGCUCAUGUAUUGCGUGAGAGUUGAAAAAGCUAAAGCACGUUAAAAAGUAUGAACCAAUUGCUUGGCUGAAACCGGGGUUGUGCAUGAUGGGAGUAUUUUGUGUGAUGAAAAUGAAGCAUAGCCUAACUAUAUGAUUUUGUAGGGAUAAGCUUUCUUUGGCUAUGCUAUUUUGAUAAGACAUGAUUACUUGUUAGUAUGCUUCAAGUAUUACUAUUUUUAUGUUAAUAUGAACUUUUAUCUUGAAUCACUUGGAUCCGAACAAUCGUACAUCAAUAAAGAAAAUUACAUUGAGAAAUAUGCUAGGUAGCAUUCCACAUCAAAAAUUCUGUUUUUAUCAUUUACCUACUCGAGGACAAGCAGGAAUUAAGCUUCGGGAUGCUUGAUACAUCUCCAACGUAUCUAUAAUUUUUUAUUGUUCCAUGCUAUUAUAUUACCCGUUUUGGAUGUUUAUGGGCUUUACUUUACACUCUUAUAUAAUUUUUGGGACUAAUCUACUAACCGAAGGCCCAACCUGAAUUGUUGUUUUUUUGCCUAUUUCAGUGUUUCAAAGAAAAGGAAUAUCAAACGGAGUCCAAACGGAAUGAAACCUUCGAGAGCAAUAUUUUUGGAACAAACGCAAUCCAGGAGACUUGGAGUGGAUGUCAAGAAGCAGCUGAGGCAGCCACGAGGGUGCAAGGCGCGCCUUAGGGGGGUGGGCACGCCCCCACCCUCGUGGGCCCCUCGUGGCUCCCCUGACUGGCCUCCUUCGCCUAUAUAUAUCUACGUACCCCAAAAACAUCCACGAGCACCAUGAAACCCUAUUUCCACCGCCGCAACCUUCUGUAUCCGCGAGAUCCCAUCUUGGGGCCUUUUCCGGCACUCCGCCGGAGGGGGAAUCGAUCAUGGAGUGCUUCUACAUCAUCGCCAAGACCUCUCUGAUGAGUUGUGAGUAGUUUACCACAGACUUUCGGGUCCAUAGUUAUUAGCUAGAUGGCUUCUUCUCUCUCUUUGAAUCUCAAUAAAAAGUUCUCCUCGAUCUUCUUGUAGAUCUAUUCGAUGUAACUCUUUUUGCGGUGUGUUUGUCGAGAUCCGAUGAAUUGUGGGUUUAUGAUCAAGCUUAUCUAUGAGAAAUAUUUGAAUCUCCUCUGAAUUCUUUUAUGUAUGAUUGGUUAUCUUUGUAAGUAUCUUUGAAUUAUCAGUUUGGUUUGGCCUACUAGAUUGAUAUUUCUUGCAAUGGGAGAAGUGCUUAGCUUUGGGUGCAAUCUUGCGGUGUCCUUUCCCAGUGACAGCAGGGGUAGCAAGGCACGUAUUGUAUUGUUGCCAUAGAGGAUAAAAAGAUGGGGUUUAUAUCAUAUUGCUUGAGUUUAUCCCUCUACAUCAUGUCAUCUUGCUUAAUGUGUUACUUUGUUCUUAUGAACUUAAUAAUCUAGAUGCAUGCUGGAUAGCGGUCGAUGUGUGGAGUAAUAGUAGUAGAUGCAGAAUCAUUUCAGUCUACCUGUCGCGGACGUGAUGCCUAUAUACAUGAUCAUGCCUAGAUAUUCUCAUAACUAUUUACUUCUCUAUCAAUUGCUCGACAGUAAUUUGUUCACCCACCGUAAUACUUAUGCUAUCUUGAGAGAAGCCACUAGUGAAACCUAUGUACCCGGGUCUAUAUUCCAUCAUAUAAGUUUUCGAUCUACUUUAUUUUGCAAUCUUUACUUUCCAAUCUAUAUCAUGAAAAUACCAAAAAUAUUUAUCUUAUCUUAUUAUCUCUAUCAGAUCCCACUUUCGCCAGUAGCCGUGAAGGGAUUGACAACCCUUUAUCGCGUUGGUUGCGAGGUUCUUGUUUGUUUGUAGGUACGAGGGACUUGUGUGGAGCCUCCUACUGGAUUGAUACCUUGGUUCUCAAAAACCGAGGGAAAUAAUUAUGCUACUUUGCUGCAUCACCCUUUCCUCUUCAAGGGAAAACCAACGCAGUGCUCAAGAGGUAGCAAACAUCUAUGAACCGUGUACGACUACCGUCGCCGUGGAUCCGGCAAGAUCCGUGUACAACUACUUCCACUACGAUUGUCACGAGAACGUCUACUUCCUCUACUUCCCACCGACUUGAACCGCCCCAAAACGUACGCUUCGAAGGUGUAACCGCUGAGACGAUCCCCGUGGACGAAUGCAUGUGUUGUAUGAGAUGCUCAUGUUUGCACCAUGUCUGAGUUGUUCCUUGCGCGUCCCUCAUUGCCUUGCCGUCGACACGUGGGAACCCGGUAAUGGGAUCACCCCACCAUCCUUGCAUGACACGCUUCCGACCACUUCUUUUGCAUUGGUAUCUCAAUGAGUAACUAGAACCGAUAUGUUGCCGUGGCAUCAUUUUCGGAUUCAUCGUUGUGGCACCCUCUCUUUCCACCAUGGUGGCAAAUGCUUCAUAACAUGCUCAUGUCAACAUGUUCAUAAAAUUGCAUAAAACUUGCAUAUGUCAUACGCAUCAUGAUUACAACAUUUAAAAUGUUUAAAAUUGUUGUUUGCAUUAAAAUUGCUAAAUGACAUGGGGAUUUUUCCGGAAUUGUUGUUUGUUGUUCCGACUUCAUUUAGACUUGCCUAGAUAGGUAGCUUUAUUAUCUUUCACCUCUUGCCAUGUUAACCAACAUUUAAUCUUGUCUUGUUCAUAAACAAGAGCAAACUAAAUAAUUGAACGUGGCGUUUCAUCAAUAUGCAACUCGUUGCAUAUUGAGCUCCACUUAAUUUGUAGUGUUGUUUGUUCCACUUUGCCAUGCCAUGAAUCAUUAAGCUGGACAUGCAUCAUACUUGGUUGCGCAUCAUGUCAUGUUUAUGUGAUGGUUGUUUACCGUGUUGUUUGCUUCUUUCCGAUUGUGCUCCUUCUCGAUAGUUCCUGUUUCGUUACGAUCGUGAGGAUUCGUUCGACUAUGCUUGGUUCGUCUUCGCCCGUUCGUCUUCUUAAUGGACUUGUCCUUCUUCCUAGCGGGAUUUCAGGCAAGAUGACCGUUACCCUGGAUCUCACUACUAUCAUUGCUAUGCUAGUUGUCUCGAUGCUAUCUCUAUGUCGCGCUUCCUACCAGUUGUUUAUCAAGCCUCCCAAUAUGCCAUGAAACAACCUCUAACCUUUUUCACCCAUCCCAGCAAACCAUUGUUUGGCUAUGUUACCACUUUGCUCAGCCCUUCUCAUAGCAUUGCUAGUGGCAGGUGCAGUUGCAGGUUGUUGCAUGUUGGAACAUGGAUAUCAUGGAUAUCUUGGGAUAUCACAAUAUCUCUUAUUUAAUUAAUGCAUCUAUAUACUUGGUAAAGGGUGGAAGGCUCGGCCUUAUGCUUGGUAUUUUGUUCCACUCUUGUCGCCCUAGUUUCCAUCAUACCGGUGUUAUGUUCCUUAAUUUUGUGUCCCUAACACGAUGAGGGUUUAUGGGCCCCUCUUGACAGUUUGCUUUGAAUAAAACUCUUCCAGCAAGGCCCAACAUCGGUUUUACCAUUUGCCUCAUAAUAACUAAAACUUGCAUAGGGGAUUUUUGCCGGCCCCCGAGUAUUAUUAAUCAACCCCCCGAGCCAGUGCUCCUCUAAGUGUUGGUCCGAACUAGAGCAUCAUGCGGGGCCGCCCCAAGGCAACUUGGGGUAUUUGGUUACUGUACGCUUCGCUCAUCCGUUGUGCCCUGAGAAUGAGAUACGUGCGGGUCCUAUCGGGAUUGGUCAGCACACCGGGAGAUCUUGCUGGUUUUGUUUUACCAUUGUCGAAAUGUCUUGUGCACCGGGAUCCCGAGUCUGAUCGGAUGUCCCGUGAUGGAGGAUUGUCUCCGCGGAUCGUGAGCUUGUAAUGGGCUAAGUUGGGAUACCCCUGCAGGAUUUAAACUUUCAAGAGCCAUGCCCGCAGUUAUGUGGUAGAUGGGAGUUUUUAAUAUCCGGUUGUAGAGAACUUGACACCAGAUUCGAAUUAAAAUACACCAACCACGUAAGUUAGCCACCAUACAUUGCUUAGCUGCUUGCUGCAACUGAGGGAGUCCUGGAUUAGGGGGUAUCCUGACAGCCGGACUAUAUACUUUGGCCGGACUGUUGGACUAUGAAGAUACAAGAUUCAAGACUUCGUCCCGUGUCCGGAUGGGACUCUCCUUUGCGUGGAAGGCAAGCUUGGCGACUAGGAUGUUAGAUCUCCUUCUUUGUAAACCGACUAUGUGUAACCCUAGCCUCCUCCGGUGUCUAUAUAAACCAGAGGGUUUAGUCCGUAGGACAAGAACAAUGAUAAUCAUAGGCUAGCUCCUAGGGUUUAGCCUAUACGAUCUCAUGGUAGAUCAACUCUUGUAAUACUCAUAUCAUCAAGAUCAAUCAAGUAGGAAGUAGGGUAUUACCUCCAUAGAGAGGGCCCGAACCUGGGUAAAACAUCGUGUCCCCUGCCUCCUGUUACCAUUAGCCUUAGACGCACAGUUCGGGACCCCCUACCCGAGAUCUGCCGGUUUUGACACCGACACUGGUGCUUUCAUUGAGAGUUCUACUGUGCCAUCACGAUAAGGCUCGAUGGCUCAUCUCGUUGUCAAGGACAACAUCAUCUCUGGGGGAGCCCUGGCUCUAGGCCAAACUCUCCGGAUGGGCGGCUUCGUCAUGACCGCCCGAUCGGCUGUCGCGUCGAUGAUGACUUCUCGGGUCAUCAAAAACGGCAUCCACGUAUAUUCGGAACUUGCCGAACAGAUGGACCCAAUGGAGCUCUCCUCCUUUCAUGAUCUCUUGGAUUGCAUCGCUGCUCUGGGCGUCGCUAUGGACUAUGACCGGAUCGGGCUUAAACCCGACCAAAGGGAGAUUUACUCUCCACCGGUCACCCAUGAGAUAGCGGUAGUGGAAGAGCAUCGUACGAAUUCUCCCUCUAUUUUGAGGACGAACUAUGUCCGGAUUUCCAAGCUCCCUGAGCCGGACACCCACUCGCGGGAGGACAUGACCCAAACCCCGAAUUUAGAAUCAGGCGGCGGGCCGAAAAAAUUGGGCAACAUCCCAGAACCCGAGCCGCCAAGCUCGGAAGCUUCCCUACCCUCGAGUCUUGGAUUGGGUCAGGAUUCAGACUUAAAUCUGCCCACCCAUCCAGAUUUAUUCAAUCUUUCUCAUAUCAGACAAGUGCCCCAAGAGACAGUACAUCAUUACUGGGCCAGAUUCCUCCUUGUGAUAAACAAGGUCAAGGACUAUCGCGAGAAGGACGCAAUCUCUCUCUUUUGCAAAAAUUGCACGGACAAAGGGAUCCUCAACUCUAUAAGCCACUGUGACAUAGUACACUUUGCGGACUUAGCGGCCAUAGUACAGAAGUACUAUGCGAUGGAAAGCACCUGGAAAACCCAAACAAACUUCUGGGACAAUCCGGCUCUCAAUAAACCCUUCGUCCAAACGAAAAGGGUAAACUUUCGCAAGUCACCUGAUUCGAUUAUCAAAAAACCAAGGCCCAGUGCAGGGCGUGGAACCGUAUUGGAGAAAUGGCUCAAUGGGCCAUUCAUAGCACACGGGAUACCAUACCAACACAUAGCCUUAGAGCAUGUUGGAUACUACGGCAGGUAGCAAAGAGCGGCGAGGAUCUCCUCAUCAACCAUACUGCAGAACAACAUCCCGUCGAGAAUAACAAUGCGGUACUGACAGUCUUCGAGACUUUCGCCUCAAAUAAUAGGCGCAAGCAAGCUCUCCGUAGCCUCGCCGAAGUUUGCCACAUGGCAACAAUAAAUCCAUGGAACGACACAGCCAUAACUUUCAAUGCCAGUGACGAACCUCAAUUCCGAAUUGUCCGGGCACCAACCGCCUUGGUCCUUAGUCCAAUCAUGGACGGCUUCCGUCUCACUAAAGUGCUCAUGGACGGCGGAAGCGGAUUAAACCUCAUCUAUGAGGAAACCCUCAACAAGAUGGAAAUUGACAAAAGCCGCAUUGAGCAAAGCAGCACUACCUUCAGGGGAAUCAUCCCUAGUCGGGAGGCAUGGUGUGCGGGAAAAAUCACACUGGAUGUGGUAUUUGGCACGCCGGAGAAUUAUAGGUCCGAAGAAAGCACGUUCCAAGUGGCCCCGUUCAGCAGCGGAUACCACGCCCUUUUAGGGCGGGACGGAUUCACGAGCUUUCAAGUUAUACCCCAUUACGGGUACAUGAAACUCAAAAUGCCCGGACCUAAUGGAAUCAUCACUCUAACUAGUGAUCCGGACGUCGCACUCCGCGCAGAAAAUAAAACUGUCACACUAGCCCUAGAAGUAUUAUCCGAAGCCCUAGCGGCCAAAGAACUAACAACGCUGCGCGCCACAGUGGACAGAGACGACGUGAUACUCGACAAGCGACCCAAGUCCACCUCCUUUAAGCCCGCGGAUGGGAUAGUCAAAUUCCAGGUCCACCCAACAGACCCCACAAAGACAGCUUCCAUUGGGACAUAGUUGAGCCCCACAAUGGAUGCCGCACUAUGAGACUUCCUACGUGAGAAUUGGGACAUUUUCCCCUGGCAUGCUUCAGACAUGCUGGUAAUCCCACGCAGGCUGGCCGAACACAGCCUCAAUAUAUUGAAAGGAUACAAGCCAGUCAAGCAGACUCUUAGGCGCUUCUUAGAGCCUAAGCGGCAAGCCAUGGGAGAAGAACUAGCCAAGAUACUUGAGGCCGGAUUCAUCAGAGAUAUAAAACAUCUGGAUUGGCUAGCAAACCUGGUAAUGGUACCAAAGAAGGACAAAUCCUGGCGCCUAUGUGUCGAUUUCAAAGACCUCAAUAAGGCUUGCCCUAAGGAUCCUUUCCCGCUCCCUCACAUUGACCAAAUCAUUGACACCACCGCAGGACACGACUCACUGUGUUUCCUCGACGCAUACUCCAGAUACCACCAGAUCAAGAUGGAGGAAUCCGACCAAGCCGCAAUGGCCUUCAUAACGCCAUAUGGCCCCUUCUGUUUGAACACUAUGCCUUUUGGGCUAAAAAACGCCGGCGCAACCUAUCAACGCAUGAUUCAGACAUGCCUAGAGAAGCAAAUCGACAAAAUAGUGGAGGCAUAUGUGGAUGACGUGGUCAUCAAAACAAGACACGUCGAAACUUUAGUAGAUGACUUAAGACUCACGUUCGACAACCUCCGAACAUACGACAUCAAGCUCAACCCGGAAAAAUGUGUCUUCGGCGUACCCUCCAGGAAGUUGCUCGGCUUCAUCAUUUCCAACAGAGGAAUCGAAGCAAAUCCGGCAAAAAUCCGAGCUCUGUCACAGUUGGCUAUCCCAACAGACCUCAAGCAGAUCCAGAAACUAACUGGAUGUGUGGCUGCCUUAAGCUGCUUUAUCUCUCGAUUAGGAGAAAAGGCACUACCUCUUUAUCGCCUUCUUCGGCACGCUAAACACUUCGAGUGGACGGAUGCGGCCACGGCCGGACUGGAAGAAAUAAAGGCCCUAUUGGCCAGCAAUCCAGUCCUGACUGCGCCAAAUACUGGCGAACCUAUGCUAUUAUACAUAGCUGCAACACACCAGGUUGUAAGCGCAGUGCUCGUCGUCGAACAAGAAGCAGACGGACACAAGUUCCCGCUCCAAAAGCCGGUAUAUUACGUGUCCACUGUCCUCACCCCAUGCAAAUCCCGAUACCCACACUAUCAAAAGA
rnacentral:lncRNA from 1 species